UAUGUGCCUUCUCUUACUUUAAAAAACUGCUUCUCUUCUUCUAAUUGAAUACAAAAACCAAAACACAUAUUCUCUUUCUCUUCCAAAAACCCAAAUACAUGUUGGACAUUGCCCAAAUUUGUCUCCAAAUUCCUAGUUUAAAUCAAAUUUAAUGCCUAUGGAUAGUUUGUUAAUAGGUUCAUGCCAUGAAUUAAUCUUUGGACUUUCCCAGGUACUGCAGGUUUGUUAUUAAUGUUGUGGCCUGAUAUUCGUCGUAUCAAUACGUUGAGGAGAGAGAUCGAUCAGCAAUUACAAAAUUGUUAGUGAAUUUAGCUUGUUUAUCAUCUCUCUCCUUUUGUUUGUUAAGUUUUGUUGUUCUAGGUUAAACCCUUGUCCCCGCAUUUCACAGCAACUCUGUGUUUUUCCACUCUGUUUAGAUUUCACUAGCAGGAGAGCCCGCGCGAUGCUGCGGGUUUUGAAAUUGUGUAGACAAAAUUAGAUUGUUUAUAUAUACAAUGAGAUUUAAUUUAUAACAUUAUGUUUAACUACAGGAGUGUAAGUUGCAAAAAAGUAUAUAAUAACAUAUUUUACAGGCUACUUGUUAUGGUAAAAUACUAUACUUGUUUGUAUAUACAUUGAGAUGUUUAUAGUAGGAAGUAGGCAUCAAAAUAGCAAAAGUUGGAUAGUUUUGUACAGAAUGUUAUUUAAUUGGGCAAGCUUUGUUUUGCACUUGCUUCAUGAUUUUUCUUCUCUUUCAUGGAAGUCUUGAUCCUGUUAUAAAAAAAAGUGAGAAAAUAGUAAAUGUUAAUAUUGAUGAAUGGGGGAAAUUGAGUUAGGACAAUAAUCAUAAACAUUUAAUUAUGUAUAAACAGGAAUAAUAUAAUUUAUUGAUUUAAUAAGAAAGUUAUAAAUAGUUUUUCAAUCUAGGAAAUACAAAGUUACAAAAUUAAGAGAACUAAUGAGCAAGUUGUAGAUGGUUUUCUAAUUGAAGUAAUACAAAGUAAACAUAUUUUAAAUUUUGUGUUUGUCUAAAAGAAAAGUUGAAGAGAGGCAAAAUAAUUAUGGUUGAAUAUAUGGAGAAAAGGAUGUCAAUAUAAUGUUUAGGUUUUUAUGUAUUAGGAAUAUAUGACUUUUUUGCUGUUAUUUAGAGCAAAAAUUAUUUAAGGGCUUGACAUUUCUGUUAAAAAACGGGUAGAAUCUACCCUGAAAAAUGGACAUUUUGCCAAAAAAUUCACCUGUAAACUAAUUAGUACUGAAUACCGAUUGGCGAAGGCAAGACAAUCAUAGUUGUGGAGUACAUAGUUAGAAAGAUGAAUGUGCAAACGUACAUCUAACCCCAUGAUAUACAUCUAACCCCAUGUGAACAUGAUUUAUUCUACAACAAUGAUUAUCAAUUUUCUAAUUGCUCAUUUUCCUAACCCUAAUCAUCACAAACCCAAAAUUAACUCUAAAAAUUUCAAAUAAGCAUGGUUCUAAACCAAUUUCUAACUUACUUAGCGAAGUCUUUUCUAUAAAUGAUAGUUGUUGAAGAAAAAGGGAAACGAAAAUAAGCUUUUAGUGUAUAAGUACAUUGAAGCAAAACAUGAAGAGAAUCCAAUAUAUAACUUCAAUAUAUAACUUUAAUUUUCUAUAAGUGUUGAUCUAAAUUUACAUCCCUUACCACUCUUCAAUUUAAAAAUAGUUUUAGCUACAACAAACAACUUCAGAGAGAAGAUUUGGCCCUGUUUUAUAAGGCAAAACCUCUCUAACCACAUGACAUACAUCUAACUCCAUGUGAACGUGAUUUAUUCUACAACAAUGAUUAUCAAUUUCCUAAUUGCUCAUUUCCCUAACCCUAAUCAUCACAAACCCAAAAUUAAUUCUAAAAAUUUCAAAUAAGCAUGGUACUAAACCAAUUUCCAACUUACUUAGUGAAGUCUUUUAUAUAAAUGAUAGUUGUUAAGGAAAAACGGAAACAAAAAUAAGCUUUUAGUGUAUAUGCACAGCACAGAAAUUGCAUGUAGCUUUCCGAUUUUUAUCCCAACUUCGUUUCUGUGGAAUCACAAAACUACAUACGCACAGCACAGGGAAGGGAAAAAAAAAAAAAGGCACAUUUAAGAGACACCUAUCUUCUCAUUCUACAUCACAUCCUCUUUUCCUAGCUUUCCAACCUUGCAACCAAAGCAAACAUCUUUCCUGAUAAAGGGUAGGAAAGAAAGUGGUUGUGUGAAUUGGGAUGAGAGAGACAGAGACAGAGACAGAGACAGAGAGACAAAGAGAGAGAGAGAAAAGAGAAAUCAAAGUAUAUAUAUAAAUAGUAAGUAUAGUUUAUAUCAUGCAAAGUUUUGAUGGUUUCGUUCAAAAAAAAAACAGGGAAAAAGUUUUGAUGGGUAAUUCUAGUAAUAAUGUUCUUAUAAUUCUAUAUAUAUAUAGAUAUCAAACUGUACUACCAUAUUCUUCCUAUAUAUACACUUGGUCGUCAACUACCUCUCUCUCUCUCUCUCUCUCUCUCUCUCUCUCUCUCUCUCUCUCUCUCUCUCUGUGACCUGCAUUUAUACAGAACCAAUUAUUCCAUCUUCACUAUACAUUUUCCUCAUCUUCCCAUUCAUAUUUUAUGGCUCUCUUGUUCUUCCUCCUAAUUCUUUUGGUCCCUGCAAGCAAUACUAAUUGGCCACCAUCACCUGGCUACUGGCCAAGUUCUAAAUUCAGGUCUAUGAGCUUUUAUAAAGGAUUUAAAACUCUCUGGGGUCCUCAGCAUCAAAGCUUAGACCAACAUGCAUUAACAAUCUGGGUUUAAUGAGGCCAGAAAAUUUUAAGAACUUAUCUACCAAGCAUACCAAACUGACAAAGCAAACCAUAUCUGUAUUUUAUCAUCAAUUUCAUCAAUUUUAUCACCAACAACAGAUAAAAAAAGGGAAUUUUUUCAAAAAAAAAAAAAAGGAAAAAACAUAAAUAAAAAAAGGGGCACAUUUAAGAGAGACCUAUCUUCUCAUUCUACAUCACAUCCUCUUUUCAUUUUGAAGCGGUCAUGUGUUGUGAGUUUCUUGUUUUAUAAAUUUUCAAAACUGUUGUUUAGAACUGCAAAAUUCUUCAUCAUAUAUCUUGCCUUCUAAUAUACAUUCUGUAUCAGGAAACUGGAAUGAGGCUUGCUCUUUGAGGAAGAGAAAUAAAAGAAAAAGUUGUGGCAAAGGUUCACGGAUGUAGUUGGAUUGUAGUGGGACAGAGAACAAAUUUAUUUGUUGCAGGGGAAAAGUCUCAUCCAAAUGCUAUGAAAUCAUGGCAACUUUAAAGUAUUGGACAGCAAUAAUGAAAGAAGAGGGCUAUGUUGGUGACACAGAUUCUUGCUUGCAUGAAUAAGAGGGAGAAAAGCCCCUAUGGUAUUGACUGUUGCCGCCAAGUGCAUAUUGUUAUUACUAUGCGUACUACAUCCCAAGGCCUCUCUCAGCAGGAUUACAAAGUAAACCAGAAUUACUAUCCCAGCAGUAUUCUGCAACUUUGCUCUGCACUUCCUUAUGUAAUCUCUCUCUCUCUCUCUCUCUCUCUCUCUCUCUAUAAAUAUAUAUAUACACACACACACACACACACACAUAUAUCUAGGCAUGCAUAUUUAUGAGUUCCCCAUUGAGGAGGGAUUCCCUUUUGAGGAUUUUAUAAUUAGAAUUAGACUGCCUUCUUAACCAAUAGUUGGGUUUGUGUGGUAAGGUAUGCUGGGUUUGUUGAUGUGGAUAUUUAUGCCUGGAGGUGCUUUGUUUUACUACUUCGUUGAAGUAGAAACAGACACUGACAAAGAAGCCCUUCAUUCUUUGUCUCAAUAGUGAUUGGUUUCUUUGAUCCUAUUCAUCAUAUCUGGUGGUGAGGUUGCCUAAUCAGCCAAAUGUUGGGUUCAACUACCUCUCUCUCUCUCUCUCUCUCUCUCUCUCUCUCUGUCUCUCUCUCUCUUUCUCUCUCUCUCUGUGACCUGCAUUUAUACAGAGCCAAUUAUUCCAUCUUCACUUUACAUUUUCCUCAUCUUCCCAUUCAUAUUUUAUGGCUUUCUUGCUCUUCCUCCUAAUUCUUUUGGUCCCUGCAAGCAAUACUAAUUGGCCACCAUCACCUGGCUACUGGCCAAGUUCUAAAUUGGCCAGAAAAUUUUAAGAACUUAUCUACCAAGCAUACCAAACUGACAAAGCAAACCAUAUCUGUAUUUUAUCAUCAAUUUUAUCGCCAACAACAGAUAAAAAAAGGGAAUUUUUUCAAAAAAAAAAAAAAAAAAGGAAAAAACAUGUUUAGUCUUUGCUUUCCAAUGUUUUAUCCAAAAACCUGAAAAUCAAAGUAACUAAAUAAAUGAACCCAAUCAUUCCUAAUUUCUAUUUUGUCAAAACCUAAUUAAGCUUCACUUCUUUUUUGCUUGUAUUUUAUCAUCAAUUUCAUCUAUUUUAUCACCAAUAGCAGAUAAAAAAAGGAAAUUUUUUCAAUUAAAAAAAAAAAAAACAUACUCAGUCUUUGCUUUCCAAUGUUUUAUCUAAAAACCUAAAAUCAAAGGAAUCAAAUAAAUAGGGUUUAGGGCUCAAGAACCUGAAAUCAAAAGAACCAAAAAAAUGAACACAACUCUACAUAGCACGAAAAAUCUCCCAGCCAACAAUCAAAUUCAUGAAAUAAAUACCAAAAGAUCUGUUAAAAAAUUGAUGAGAUGCAUACCUGAAAACAAAGGAUGCAACAAAGAUGGAAGCCUGAGUCGAAGCAAGAACGAUGGAAGCCUGAGUCGAAGCAAGAAAGAUGGAAGCCUGAGUCGAAGGUUGUAGAAAAGACGAAAUCUCCCGAUCCCAAAUCUGUGACACGAAGACUGAAAGCACGGCUGGAUUUGCAGCUCACCUCCCAAACAAAAAUCGACGGCCUUCAACGCAUCUCCAGCAACGAACACAACUCUUCCAUGGCUGCCCCCCAACCAGCUGGUUGGAAACGAACGGGAGAAAAUGGUUUCUCUCAGCGGACGAAACCAUCUCAACGAAGGGGGAGGGGCAAAAACGGGAACAAAAGAAACUGUUUAGUCAAGGGCAGUUUCGUCAUUUAACUGUGCUGCAGGAAAAAAAACGAAAACAGCAGAAAAAUGAGGGGCAUUUCCGUCAUUACACUGUGCUUAGCUACAGUGUUUAGUUGCAUUGGGUUUUAGUAUAUAUAUAAUUUAUGUUGUGAUUCGACUGCUGCUGUAUUUUAGAUUUAUAGGAACAGACCAAACAUGUUGAUUCUAUCACCAAAAUUAUAAAGUAUACUUCCAUUACAAUUAAUUUGUUGAUUCUAAUUUGGACUUGUAGGAACAGACCAAACAUGUUCAUACGUGGCAUUGCUCAAGUCAUCAUCAUUCGGGACAGAGAAUAAGCCUUCAAAUGUCUGCUGAGUCAAUGAACCUUUCUAGAUAUCUCAAGUGUAAUGGAAAUUGAUGAGUUACAAAGGAUUUGUAAACAUUUUCUACUGGAGGCUAGAAAUGCUUCAAAUAAAUGACUCUGUUGCAAUUAUUUUGUAGGAUCAAAGACUCUGCAAAGAGGUAAGAAAGUCAUCAUCAAGUAACUUCGCUCUUCAUACUUUUUAUUAGGGGUGGGCAUUGGAACCGCAAAACCGCAAAACCGAACCAACCCAAUCCGAAAAAAACCGAAAAAAACCGUGUUGACCGAAAAAGUCAAAAACCGAGACAAAUCCAAACCGAACCGGUUCAGACCGGUUCCGGUUCCGAUUUUCCACCUUAAGGAACCGGUCCAAUCCGAACCGGUCCAAUAUAAUUAAUUUUUAUAUUAUAUUUAUAUUUAUAUUUAAAAUAUCAAAUUUUGUAGGCCCAAACCCAACUAUUUCAUUAUACCAACAAAAAGCCCAAAUCUCCCAAGUCCAUUGCCCAAGUCCAACAAGCCAUAUUUUAAUAUCCUAAUCACAUCAAAUCUCACUUCACUCUCUCUCUCUGACGCACUCUCUCUUUUCCUCUCAGAUUUUUUUUACUCUCUUUUUCUUUCUUUCUUCUCUCUUCCGCCUCUUUUCCUCUAGGUUCUUUAACUUCUUUUUACUUCUUUCUUUCUUCACUCUUCUGCCUCUUUUCCUCAGUUUUUUCUUCUUCUUUCUCUCUUAUUCUUUCUCCUCUCAAUUCGUCUCCAUUUUUUUUCCCUCUCUUUCUCUGAUUUUCUGUUACUCUGAUUUUUUUCUUCUUGGUUUUAUGUUUCUCUCUCUCCCUCUAUAUCUCUUUCUUUGCAACUCUGUUUUUCAAUUUCUCCUUUUUUUUCUCUCUUCAUUUUUUGUUUCUCUGUACAUAUAUGUGUUCAUCUUGUAGAUCUGGGUGAAAUUCUUGUAGAUCUAGGUGAAGUUCUUGGAGAUCUGCGUUAAGUUCUUGUAGAUCUAGGUAAAGAGCCAAUUCAAAGCAGGUCAGCGUCUCUUAUCUCCCCAAUCCCUUGUGAAGAUAUGUAUUUUUUUUGUUGUCAACAAUCCAUUUUGGUGUUUUUAUAUGGUAUUGAUAUUUUCUAUGAUUUUGGGCUGAUUUGAGGUCUGAUUCUUUUUUUUUCUUUCAAUUUUUUCCUGUUGUGUUUUGAUAGACAUGUUCUCUAUUCCUGAUAUCAUUCCUCAGUGGCAAAAUCUUUGAGCGUUGUUGUAAAUUUUAGACGGGAAAGAAGCUCAUUCAUAAUUCAAAAAAAGAAAAUAAAGUUACAACAACUGACAAUUUGUUGCUCUUUGAAAUAGGUACUGAAGUAGCAUGGAUAAAAAGAAAGACUGAAGAUGUUGCAGAAGAUUGAAUAUGUUCUAUUUCUGUAAUUUGUUUGUAAUUAAAUUUGUUUAUUUUGUUUUGUUUUUAGGUUGUAAGUUUUAUUUUAAUGUUUGAUAUUUGUUGUUUUGUCAAAAAAUUGUAUUAAUGCUUGAUGGAUUCAUUCAAUUUGCAGUGCGUGGAUGUGAAUUGGGCCAAUCGGUAAUAAUUAGGCCCAAAAGGUUUUAAAUAUCAAUUGGGCUGAAACUUACAAAAAAAUUUAAGAACAAAAAAAAAAUCAAUUAAGCUGUGUGUCGGCCCAAACCGUAAAAACCGGAACCGAACCGGAUUCAAAUGGGUUCGGGUUGGUCCGGUUUUCUCAAGCAUUUUAGUAAAAAUCCGAACCGGACCGGACCGGUGAACAGUACCGGUUCCGGUUUUAAAUUGAUGCAAAAACCGGUCCAAACCGGACCGUGCCCACCCCUAUUUUUUAUUUUUAUUUUUAAAUAUCAGUAAUAACUGGGAAAGCUUGCAUCUCCUUAAAUUGCUCAUUCUUACAUCUUUUAUAGUUUGUUGAUCUUGGGCAAGUGGAGAGAGAGGCGUCAAGUGAUACGCAACAACCAUUUUCUGUGAGCUGAUUUGAUAAAGAGAAAUGGUAUGCUUUCUUGUCUUAAGCGGUGUGUUCUGCAAUUAUUUGAAACAAAGGAUGCCGCACUUCAAGUUCGAGAAAAUCAGGUAUUUUAGUAUUUUAUUCUUGAGAAAUUUGAUUUAUGUAGAAACUUGAACAUGUAAAUGAGAGAAAAAAAAAUAAAUAUAUAUAUAUAUUAUAUAUUGUAUAUGCUGUUAAUGAGUUAAUAUGGUGCUUGCUCCUAGUUGGAAAUUUAUGUAGUCAUCUACCUAUGAUCAAAUAAAGAUGAAAAAUAAAAUAAAAUUGAGAGCAUCUUCCUCUCCCCUGCUUUGCUCAUCCCUUGUUCUUCCACUUCAGCCCCACUAUUACACCAUUUUUUUCAGCCACAAUUAUAAUAGCUCCAUGAGCAUUAAGUCCCUUUCAAAUUCUGCUGACAUUCAAAAUUGGAAUCUGCUGGUGAUAUAUGAUAGCGUUAACAUAUUGUACCAUUUUGGCCAGUGUACGCAAUAUUAUUGCAUCCAACUUUGCAUAUUAACAUCAGUGGCCACAGUUACACGAUUUGAGUGCACAGAAAGGUUUCAAAAGUUGUCCCACAGAGAACAGUCGUUCAAAGUGAGAGAGUUUUGAAAGCUUAAUUACAAGUUCAUGUUGUUUACAACCUCAAAAAGCUUUCAUACUUGCUUACAAACCUGUAUUUCCAAGUUCUGCAAACCUUGGAAUAUCACUUCAUCCAAAUCCCCUUCCAAAGCAGGAAAAAAUGGCAGCAGCUUUGAUUGGAGAGGCUCUCAUCUCUGCUUCUAUCGAGGUGUUGUGUGACAGAGUUACUUCAGCCGAGUUCAUAGACUUAUUUCAGCAGAAGAAACUUGAUGAAACACUCCUCAUGAACCUGAAGACGACACUGUUGAUUUUGUUUGCGGCGCUCAAUGAUGCAGAGGAGAAGCAAAUUGUGAACCCUGCUGUGAUAGAGUGGCUUAACAGCUCAAGCAUGCUGUCUUUGAUGCAGAGGACUUACUUGAUGAGAUUGACACUGAAGCUUUGCGAUGCAAGCUGGAAGGUGAGGAUCAAACCCACAAUAAUUAACCAACAAGGAUCUUUUUGAUUGUUUGAAAGGAGGGUCUUUGAUGAUUUGAAAGGAGAGGGUUGCUUCAUUUCUGUUGGAUGCUUAAUUAAAUCUUAUCUGGACUUGAACAAGGAUUAGGUUAGCUGUAUAAUUCGUGGUAAACACCUUUUUCUAAGGUUCAUUUAGACUCCUAUUACGAUUAAUUUGUUGUUUCUAAUUUGGACUUGUAGGAACAGACCAAAUAUGUUCACACGUGGCAUCGUUCAAGUCAUCAUCAUUUCAGACAAAAUCAGCCUUCAAGUGUCUGCUGACUCAAUGAACCUUUCUAGAUAUAUCAAGUGCAAUGGAAAUUCAAGAGUUACAUAGAGAUUUGUAAACAUUUUGAAGAUUGCAACACCUGCAAGUGAGAUAGGUGGUGACGAAAUCAGAGCUGAUCUUGAAGCCUCUGAUGCCCCUGUCGUUGCAAGUUGCACCUGAGAACAUGGUUUUUUUUUGGGUAAAAAACCAGCAACAUGUUCGGGGCUGGCAAUUCAAUCCCUGAUGAACUUGAGAAGCAAAGCUCCAGUAAGGAAAUUGGUCGAGGUCACGACAGGGAUAAUUGAUGGUGAAAUGGAUGCUAUUUCUUAUUGCAGCCUGUUCUCAAAGUUCUUGUUGGCAAAAGCAAGAGAUGGAGUAUUUUGAUUGGGAGGAGAGAUAAUGACAUGUGUUGACAAUUCUAGAACAGCCCAUCUGAGUUCUUUUGUCAGGCUGCAUCAUUUAAUCCCAGCAAAAAUCCAGUUUUUGCUAAACAAUCAAAUUGUACACAUUUUUUCUUUUCGAGGAAUUUAACAUUACACAUUUUUUCAUUUUUUCAUCAAACAGUUUUCUAAUGCAUUUGUUGUCCCAAGUUACAAUGAGGAAUUUGGAUUGAGUUUCUUGUGUUAAUAACAUUAUACUUUCAUGGAAUGGUUUAUCUUCUUUUUCUGGACAAAAAUAUUUAGAUUAAUUUCUUGGAAUAAUUUUUUAAUAAUUUUUUAAUUGCAGUAGCGAAAAAAGGAAAAUUGUAUUUUUCAAAACCAAUCUUAAGUCCAGUUUCCUCUUCUUGGUCGUCACACUUGGAAAUUGCUAACCAUAUAUAACUUGGGGUAACAAUCUUAGUCCGAAUGUGUACGAUCUUAGUCCGAUCAAUGGCUACGCGUAUUGGCUCGGCCUUGGGGUCUACCAUUCCAGUGUACAAGCUUCCUGGGUCUUGGGGCAAUUCCUUCAAAUUGUACACAUGUUUUCUUUGAGAAGCAAGGCUCUAGUAAGGAAAUUGGUUAUGUAACAAAUUUUGGUCCCUUUGGAUGGAAUGAUUUACAAUGAGGAAUUUUAUUAUUAUUAUUUUGUUUUUGUUGUUAGUGUAAUGAAAAUGAUCUAGGUUCAUACACUGGGUAUAGCUCUAAUUUGGCCAAUUUCAUUAUUUUAGUUUCUUCAUAUUUUCAAUUAUUAUAAUUUGGUGCGUUGUUUUUUAAAAACAUUCAUGAGAAUCUCCAUUUUUUAGGUGUUUAAGUUAUUCAUCCACAACGGUUUUAUAAUACCGUCAUCUUUUCAAACACAACGAUGAUUUUUUAAUCUAUCGUCGUUGUUUUCUGAUCGUCUUUUUCACUUUUUGUAGUAGUGUCAAUAAGUAAGAUGAAAUAAUACAUUCACAAUCUGUUUAAAUUUUAAAUUAAAAAAAACACAAGAAAAUUUUAAAUAAGUAAGUAAUUUUAAAUAUAUAUUUCCAUUGUUUUGGUUUUCUUUUCAUAUUAGUUUUCUACUAGCUGCUAAUUUCAUUUAAAUUGUUUUUCUUACUUCAUUUAACUUUUAAGCAUGCAGAUGCAAUCAUGACUUCUUCUUUUUUUCAAUAGACUGAUUCUCUUCCCACAUAUAUAAUGCUCUCUAAGUAUUCGUAAUAUGAGUAGGAAUUUAUUUUCAUUUCACAAGAAUUGUCCAUCAAAUUCUGAUAGGUUUGUCGAUAGCACAAGCAUGCACAUAUAGACACUACAAGAACUUUGUUUCUUCAUUUUGUUUCCUAAAGAUUUGUUGGCUUCGUGCAGAUGAAUAACAAGUCUCUCUGUCCUCUAUUUCUUCUUUUUCUUUUUUAACAAUUCAUAUUCUACUUUCUGUUUUCACCCAGUAAAAAUUGAUUUUAGACAUGGGCUUCUAAAUUAUGUGCGGAUAAUGGUUGCAUUUAUAGAAUAUCCAUGGGCUUCUAGUCACCGUGGUUGUUGAUUCAGCAUGUCAUAUUACUCUUGGACUAGCUGUUGACACUACUACAUUUUACACUUUGCGCGACGAAGAACAAAACGUCGCGCAAAGUCGCAUUUAGUCGCCCCAAUUUCAGCGCGACAAAAACGUCGUCGCGCAUAUUCCGUCGCGCGAAGAUCGUGAAGAAAGCCUUUGCACGACGAGGUACAACCCUUCGUCGCGCAAAAGUGUGCGACGGGUAAACCAUCGUUGCACCAACGGUGUGGAGACGAAACAACCCUUCGUCGCAAAAAUAUUUGCGCGACGAUAAAUUAUGCGGCGCACGUAUAUUUGCGAGACGACGGGAAUUGCGCGACAAAACAUUAUUCGUCGCGCAAAAUAUGUAUGGGAGACGUAUAUGUUCGUCGCAGAACAAUUCGCGCGAUGAGAAAGUUUUCGUCGCACAUAUAAUUGCGCGACGAAAAAUUAUGUCGUCGGCCAAAUAUUUUGCGCGACGAAACAUUUCGUCGCGCAAAACGUGUUAUGUGUUCGUCGCGCAUGAAUUAAAAGUGAUAAAAAAAUAUUUGAUUUUUUUUUGUUACAUGUUGGUUUGCGCGACGAAAGAUUUUCCGUCGCGCAAAAAUAAUAUUACAAUUUUUUUUUUAUUUAUAUUUUUUAUUUGAUAUAAAAUUGGUUUCUUUUUAUUGAUUAAACAAUGAAAUUGCAAUAAAAAUAAAUUAGAAUAAAAUUUUGUUAUAAAAUAAAAUAAAAUAAAUGUAUUACAAAUAAAAUAAAUACACUAAUCAAAUAAUGAAUCAAAAUCAACCGAGUCGUCGCCAGUAUGCGGCUCGGAGGGCGGGGCGUUCACCGGGGCAGUGGUCUGGUGGGGAUGCCCGGGAUGGACGGGCUCAGAGGUCGGCGCAUCAAAAUGCGGGACUGGAAUGCCGGACUGUGCGAGGGACUGCAGAAUGACCGACAUCUGGCUCUGAAGAGUGGCCACCUGUGCUGUCAAAGCAGUGACCUGACUGUUUGACUGCGCCGAUGAACGAGGUCGAGGUUCCCUCCGCCGGGCAUUCCCCAUCCCUCGACAAUAUGUCCCCGGCCUCCUCCCGAGAGUCUGAUCCAACGUCUCCGUCAAUAUCUGAAAUCCAGCAUCCUGUGGAGGAGCCACAGACUCGAUCGGAGUCUCGGGAGGAAGCUGGGAGGCGGACUCCUGAAGAACAAGCUGGCUCCUCUCCACCAUCGUCGUCUGUUGAACAUAACAUAAAAUAUAAAUUAAAACAUGCAUAUAAAUUGAAUGCGUAACAUAAGAAUUAAAAUUAAAUAAUACUUACAUGAAGGGACUCGGCCAACUCAUUCCCGGGUCGAACAUAAACGUCACCAAAGACGUCGAUCUCUGGGAACUUGGACCCCUCCUAAAUUGAACAAGAGAAGAAAAAUAUUAGUAUGAAAAAAAUAAAUUAAUAAAAAUGACAUUAAAAAUGAAAUAAAAAUUUUGUGAUUAUUACCCGACGCCGUGCAUCCAUCCUAUAAGAAAAGGGUCUGGAGCCGGAAUGGUGGAGAAGGGUCUUCUUCUUCCUAUUACCCUUAUUCACUUGGGCUUUAUUCUGUUAUACAAAAAAUGAAACGUAUUAGUUAAAAUAUAAAAAAUUAAAUAAUAAUGAAAUAAAAAAAUAAAAUAAACAUUAAUAAGUAAUAAGUAAUAAUUAAACAAAUAUAAUUAAAAAAAUACCGCAAAUUCGGGCGCUUGAAAAUGAGCGCAGAGCCACUCCCAACUAUCCUCCCGCCCCUCAAGCUCCUUCGGGCAACCCUCCUGAAGAGCGACUUGCGGAUCAUCAUAGGCCUGAAAAUGGUGGUGCAAGUCGCUCUUCCACUGCUUGUACCUCUCAGCGAAGAGUCGGUUGACGUACGUCAACGACUCUUCGUCGAGAUCCUCCAAGUUAUAGUUCGUCUGCAAUCAAUUAAUUAGAUACGUUAAGUAAUAGAAAUAUACACAAUUUUAAAGAAAAAUAAUGAAAAUGUAAGGUACAUACCGACAACUGGCCGUGAAUCUCCGCCUGGAUCUCGUCAGGCAUGACCCUCCAAGACUUCCAUUGCAUCGGGCAAUGGGUCCGCACGACGUGGCCAAUGUCGUGGGCCAAGGAGCUAUGCAACUUCGCCGUCGGUGCAGCACGAUGGCGCUCGUCGUAUCCGAUGCUGAUACGACUGUUGGUCACCCGGGUGACCUUCGCCGUCUUCAGCUGACGACACGGUCCUCGGGUGUUCCUCUUCGCUGCAAAGAAAUAAGGUAUUAAUGUUAAAUAAAAAAACAUUGUCAAAUUUCAAUAUAAAAUUAACAAUACAAAAGUGUAGUUAUACCUGGCUGUGAUCCCGAGGCACCAGUACCGUCGGUCGAUGUCGUGUCGAUGGUGUCGGUGGGCCGGUGCCGCCGCCUAGCACUAGCUGGUUGCGCCACGGAUGACGCAGAUGACACAGGCGCCUGGGGCGCCCCGGGACCAACCACCACGUGGUCCAACAAAGCAGGAGCAGUGGCAGCAGAUGCCGACUGAGCCAGGGGAUCCGAACUCGGUGCAGUCGUCAUCGACCUACCACGUCUAAUCAAGUCUGACAUCUGCACAUAUAAUUUCAUUCAGAAUGUAAACUAAUUAAUUAAAAGCAUAGCCUGACCUAGGGUUUGGAAUUUCGGAGUAUCCGGGACUCCGAUCAACGAUCGGUCGAAUCCUAAACGAUCCUAGAAACACAAAGGUACAACUACGCGAGUUUCAGUUCGAUCCAACGGUCCGAACAUAUCAAACCUGGAAAUCGCACAAUAGGCGAAAUUCGAUCAAGACUCAAACGGUAACCAAAUUCAAAUCCGAGCAAACCUACGCGCUCGUGACAAACAGGGGAUCGCUCUGGGACACAAUGCCCCACUGCCACAGCAUCCCACGCGCCGGCAGCGCGUGGGUGUCCAAAGCGAUAACAUUCGCCGGAAAAUUCUAAAAACUAACGGCCAAGGUUCCUACCCUAGGUUGAAAACAAUAUUUGGCGCCACUUUUGUUCUCGGACCUACCCCGAAAAAUGGCCGGAAGUGGCCGGAUUUGAAAUUGCCAAACCGGCCAAAACCUAGGGUUUUAAUUCCUAUUUCCUAUACCCAUCAGCUAGAGCACAAAAAAUAGUCGAGAAAUCAUACCUCAGGCGUCGGAAAUGGUGGCCGGAGGAGAGAGAAAACGGCCGGCGAGGAAUCGGUGAAAAACCGACGAUGUGCGACGGCAGGCUCGACGGCGAAGGCAGGGGAGGCUAUGGCAGGAGCGGCGGUGGCUGAGGUGACGGCGGAGAGAGAGGGCUGAGGUGACGGCGGAGAGAGAGGCAAACGGAGGAAAAAACCAGAAAUGGGGAAGAAGGAGGCAUCGCGACGUUUCUGCAAAUUUUUACGACUUUGCGCGACGAAUCACAUCAUUCGUCGCGCAAAAUGCUAUUAAUGAAUCUUGCGCGACGCUAUAUCCGUCGCGCAAGAUCUGUCAGAACGCCAAAUUCUGAAAGUGGAUUAGGGUCUGUAAGUUUUGCGCGACGAAAUAGACAUACUUCGUCGCGCAAAAGGCUGUCUUUCCGCCAAAAUUUUGGGAUUUAGGGUUUAGCGGGAGGCUGAAACUGAAGGGUUUGCGCUUUUGCGCGACGAAGACGGUAAACGUCGCGCAAUGGUAACCUUGCGCGACGGAACGUAUUAUAUUCGUCGCGCAAAAGGCUAUCUUUCCGCCCAAAUUUUGGGAUUCAGGGUUUAGCGGGAGGCUGAAGGGUUUGCGCUUUUGCGCGACGAAGACACUAAACGUCGCACAAAAGGCUGUCUGCUGAAAUGAAUGGUUUCUGCUUUUGCGCGACGAAGACAAUAAACGUCGCGCAAAACGUUGUCGUUCCGCCAACAAUUUGGGGUUUAGGGUUUAGUGUGAAAACUGGCGCCCAGAUUGCGCGACGAAGAGUACAUAUUUCCUUCGCGCAAUCUAUUUCACUUUCACUUUGCGCGACGGAUAUGUUGGUUCGUCGCGCAAUCUUCAAGAUUUUCAUUGAAAUUUUCACUAAGUGUUCAAAGGGGAUGGAGGUGUGAAAACUGGCGCCCAGAUUGCGCGACGAAGAGUACAUAUUUCCGUCGCACAAUCUAAUUCACUUUCACUUUGCGCGACGGUUAAAUUGUUCGUCGCGCAAAAUGUAGACCCUAAACCCCCUUGUAAACCCUAAACCCUGAACCCUAAGCCAUAAACCCUAAACCCUAAAAUAGUUUCAAUGAUCCAACCGGCAAACUUAUUGUUUGAAACUUGGAGAUCAUAUACGCCAAAAAUCAAGAAGACCAAACAUUCAGAUAUCAGGGAACGGGACUAAAUAUUUCGACGGUUAUAAAUGAAAAGUCAUGAUUUAACGGUUAUUGUAACUCCGAUUUUGAUCAAUUUUGACAGCAGCAUUUGUUGACCCUAUAUGAAUACAAUGACUGAAUUUGAUCUUCAAUUUCAGAUUUUUACACUAGGGGAUACCACAUAAACGUGAAGUUACAUUUGCACAAAUGUAUAAACAAAUUUUAGGGUUUUUGGUGAAUAUAUGAUUUUGAUAGCACAUGCAGUCUACGAAACAAGUUUCAGUCAUCCAGCCGUCAAACUUGUUUUUUUAGACUUCGAGAUCAUAGACAGCAAAAAUCGGACAAAAAAAACAUUCAGAGAUUAAGCAACGGGGUAAAACUUUUCGACGGUUCUAAAUAAAAAGUGAUGAUUGAACGGUUAAUUUAACUCCGAUGUUGAUGAUUUUUUGCAGCUACAGUCCUACACUCCAUAUGAAUACAAUGAACUACUUCGAUCGCCAAUUUUAAAUAUAUAUGUGUGUAUAUAUUAUACUAUAACGUUACCUAAUAUAUAUUUGCGCGACGAAAGUUUGCUUAUCGUCGCGCAAAAAUGCCAUACGCGACGCAUGUAUAUAUGCGUCGCGGAAACUAUGCGCGACCAGUUGUAUUCGUUGCGCAAACAUUACGCGACGCUUAUGUAUGCGUCGCGUAUGGUAUGUUUGCGCGACGAUAUGGAGCCCUUCGUCGCGCAUGGAUUUGGCGCCAUAAAUCCUCAUUGAUUUCAAAUUGUGUAUGCUUUGUAUUUUUUAGAAAGGUUUUGUAUUCAUCAUUUUUUAUGCUUUGUAUUUUGUGGAAAGGCUUUGAAAUAUUCAUUUCUUUUGUUAUUUUUAUUGAAGCUUUAACUUGUUCUGUUCCGCAGAAAAUUCCAAUGAAGUUUGUGAUGAAAUAUGGAGAAUGAAUACACAACUACAUAUGGACAACUACACAUAUUCAAAGAUUUGUAUUACACAAAAUUAAUACACUAACAUAAUAAAUUUACAAAUAAAUUCAUUAUUCAUCAUCUGAACUAUAAUAACUUUCGUUAUCGUCGCUAGCUUUAACUUGUUCUGUUCCGCAGAAAAUUCCAAUGAAGUUUGUGAUGAAAUCUGGAGAAUGAAUACACAACUACAUAUAGACAACUACACAUAUUCAAAGAUUUGUAUUACACAAAAUUAAUACACUACAUAAUAAAUUACAAAUAAAUUCAUUAUUCAUCAUCUGAACUAUAAUAACUUUCGUAUCGUCGCUAUCAUCACUCUCGGUCUCCCAAUCUUCUUCCUCCUCCUCCUCUAUAACUGCAUCAUCGGCGUUGCUAGGGCCCACUGCAACAUCGUAUCGGGGAAGAUCACCGAGGUCAAUUGUAAUUGACUGAAUCGGUAUUUCGACUGAAGACACUCCUUCUAUUUGAAACGGUUCUUGUAUAACAUUUGUAUCUCGAAGUGUUUCCGCAUCAUUUUCCAUUGAAGAUUCUAAACGAUGGUCAGCCACAUUGUCGACGUCGUUGUCACUUGGGUCUAGUUCUGGUAUAUUAUACACGUUCCUAUGAUCCAUCUUCUGCACAACUUUCCACCCGUUCCCGGCUUUAGGGUCAUCUAGAUACACAAUUUGGGACGCCAUGUUUGCCAAAAUGUACGGGUCGUCAUCAUACCAAGUUCUGUUAAUAUUCACAGACAGUACUCCAUGGUCGAUUUUAACACUUCCCGCCCUAUUUGGGUUGGUAUCGAACCAUCGACACUUAAACAUGAUGACUUGGUAUCGAUCUUUGUAAAGCAAUUGCACGACAGUUGUCAGUUUGCCAUAGAAAUCAAUGUCUGUACUUUCGCCUCCACCUGGGACAUGAACACCGCUAUUUUGCGUACACAACUUGUCAUCUCGUGCGGCCCCUAAAAAUUUGACGCCGUUAACAUUACAACCCGAGAACAAUUCAGCGCGAAUUGGGCCGAACGCCAAGUUAUAUAACUCAUCACUGUAAGUGGGGGAAUUCGAUGAUUUCAAUUUAUUCACCUAAUAGUAUACAAAACCAUUUACAUGUUAGUCUGACAAAAUUAAAUACUAAAAUUUAUAUUUGUCAAUUACAAAACACUUAUAACUUACAGAAUCCAAAAACCAUUGUGGAAAUAAUUCACGGUGUUUCCGGGCAACCAAAUGUGAUGGAUGUUCUCGCUUCAUCAUCUGUUCAUGCUCAUCUAAGUAGGCCAUUAUCUCAUCACAAUUGUUCAGUACGAACCAAUGCGCUACCUCCAUGUCAUUUCUAGAAAACGACUCUCCUCGUCCAGGAUCUCCAAAUGGUCGUGCGCUUUGGGCAAAAACAGAAAGUUUUUCAUUUCUCAUACCUCCGUCAUUAUUGCGGUGAGGACGAUUGAAAACCGUCUCCACAUCUUUUAAAUACAUUCCACAGAAAGUAAGCGACUCAUAUUGAACCCAAGCCUCUAUAAUUGAUCCUUCGGGCUUUGCCCUGUUGCGUACACUUUUUUUCAGCUCUCCGAGAAGCCUGCCAAAAUAAAACGAUAUGAUACAAAUUAGCAAAGUGUCGAUAAUGAUGCAUACACAAAUGAUAAAGAUUAUAUACCUUUCUAUUGGAUACAUCCAGCGAUAGUUGACAGGACCAGCAAGCAAUGCCUCUUCUGGCAAGUGAACCAUCACGUGCAUCAUACUUAUAAAGAAAGCUGGAGGAAAUAUCAUCUCAAACUUGCAUAGGACUUGGACAAUGUCAUGGCGCAACUGAAACAUGUCUGUCCUUCGCAAUGUUUUUGCCGUCAGUUGGGAAAAAAAUCUGGAUAACAACAUGAUUGGCUUCACCACAUCUUCCGGCAGUAAGUGUCGAAUACCCACAGGAAGUAGGCGUUGCAUGAACACAUGGCAGUCAUGGCUCUUAAGUCCAGUAAAUUUACCCCCAUCGACAUUCACGCAACGUGCGAUAUUAGAAGCAUACCCAUCGGGAAAUUUGACAGACGAUACAAACUUUAGAAACUCCUUUUUGUCAUUCGGUUUCAUAGAAAAGAAUGCAAGAUCCCUUCUAGCUUUAUCACUGUCCCUAUUCAUCCAUAAACCCCUUCGUAUGCCCAUUCUUUCCAAAUCAAGACGAGCUUUGAUCGUGUCCUUCGUCUUCCCCUCGAUAUCUAGAAUCGUGCCCACCAAUGUGUCGAAAACAUUUUUCUCAACAUGCAUCACAUCUAGAUUGUGCCUCAAUUUCAGUUUCGACCAAUAUGGGCGCUCAAAAAACAUAGACUUGUGCGUCCAGUUCAAAUGUGUAGAAGGUCGGGUCCGACUAACUGUUUUCCCGAACGGAGCAAAAUCCAAACGGUUCAGCUGUUCCAAGAUCUCAUCACCGGACCAUUCUCUAGGUCUGAGGCGACGCUCUGUGUUCCCGUCGAACUCUUUAUCUUUUUCUCGCCACUCGUGGUCCCAUGGCAACCAUCUCCGAUGACCAAGGUAACAAACUUUUCCCGCGUGCCAACCAGAAGUUACAUCUUCCUUGCAUACAGGACAUGCCAUAUAACCCUUUGUGCUCCACCCAGAAACCAUUGCAUAUGCUGGAAAAUCAUUCACAGUCCACAUAACUGCUGCUCGCAAAGUGAACAUCCUCCCAGUUGAUUUAUCGUACGUGCGAACACCGUUUGUCCAUAAAUCCUUCAGCUCAUCAACCAGAGGCCUUAAGUACACAUCAAUUGACCUGCCAGGAUCCUCAGUUAUCAAAACAGUCAUCAUCAUGUAUUCUUUUUUCAUGCAUUUCCAAGGCGGCAAAUUAUAUGGGAAUGCGAAAAUCGGCCAAGUGCUGUGGUGUUGGUUUAGAACCCCAUACGGAUUGAAUCCGUCAGUGGCAAGUCCCAAUCUAACAUUUCGGGGAUCAGCAGCAAAUUCGGGGAACGUUCGAUCGAACUCUUUCCAUGCCUCCCCAUCUGCAGGAUGCCGCAUCACAUCAUCGUCUACCCGUUUUUCCUUAUGCCAUCUCAUGUCUGUGGCAGUAUGCGUUGACAUAUACAAUCGCUGCAACCUAGGUUUAAGGGGCAGAUAACGCAUGACUUUUUGUGGUAUCUUAGUCGUUCUAUUCUGGGAUGUCAGUUUGAACCUCGACUCAUUGCAUAUAGGGCAUGUAUCCAACGUUUCAUGCUCUUUGUAGAAUAACAUGCAAUUGUUUUUGCAAGCGUGGAUUUUUUCAUAACCCAAUCCAAGACCGUGCAACACCUUCUGUGCAUGUUUAUGGUCUUUCGGCAAACAAUUGUCCGUCGGAAGCAUUCUCUUGAAAACCCCCAAAAAGUAAUCAAAACACAAGUUCGACAUACGAUACUUUAUUUUUCCGUGCAUUAGCUCCACAAUGGCAGUGAGAACGGAAAACCUCUCGCACCCCGGGUAUAACUCUUGGUUGGCAUUUUUUAACAGUUUUUCAUACUGUUCAAACUCCGCACUGUCUAUUGGUGUAGGCACGUCAUCUUCCCCUUCCUGAUUGAUGUUGGUCGAUGCGAAUGGAAAAGCAUCCUGUAUAAUACCCAUGACUUGAUCAUUAGGAUCCACAAUAGGUUCAACAUUGUCCACUCUCGGGGCAUUUGAAGACGAAGCAUGGUCUACUUGUUCGCCGUGAAGGUUCCAAAUGCUAUAUGUUUCAAUCAUUCCAUUCCUUACUAAAUGAAAUCCAACAUUUUCAAUUGUCUCCCACAACGUGUUGUUACACCUCCUACAAGGACAACGGAUUCUAGUUGCACCCGGGUUGUGUCUACGUGCAAACUCAAUAAAAUCCUCGAUUCCAUCCAAGUAUUCGUCUGCGCAUCUAUUCGGGUUCUGUAUCCACCUUCUGCUCAUAAUUCCUGAAACCACAAUCACGACACAACAAUCACAACAACUUCAUACGAAGUUAUAAUGUCACCUUAUGCCUCCGGUAAGGGCCCUAUCCCAUUCGGGAAUGCAUAGUCCUGUCACGUAACCUACGGCUACAUGAGAUUAGAUUUCGACGUGGAUUAAUUUCAGCAGCAUCUCGACACAGUUCUUGAAGUGGGCAUAGGUAUAAAUACCUACGUACCACCCGAAGAACGUACCGAGAUGACACCGAAAUCUCCACAAUCGAAACCUAAUCCUGUAGCCGAAGAUUAUGUGACAACACUAUGCAUUACCAAACUGUCCAAAUAAUGGGACAAUUCAAGAAUUAAUUGGACCGCAGUCAUGCAUUACGCAUCCAUGCACGAAAUUCAACUAAUCUCGAACGGGAAACUACGUGUUACUAAACAUAAAAAUAAAAGUACGAAGUUAAUUUCAAUUAACUUCGUACAUCACAACACAUUGUGCUAUGUCACGCACAAUUUCACAACAUUAUACACAUAUAACUUCACAAAAAAAUUACAAACAUAACAAACAAACUUUUACAAUAACAUACCUUCUCAAUCGUUCUCCACCAAUCACAAAUAUCCCUAACGAUAACAAAAUUAAUAGCGUUACUACGAAUUUACAUUAAUACAUUUAAACUAACGACAAAAAAUACAUACCCAAUGAACGUACUGAAUUCACAGUAGAGCAACGGCAGAGAGAGUGAGAGAGAGGUAGAAUGCAGUGGGAGAGUGAGAGAGAGGCAGAAUGCAGAAACUGCAUUCUGCCUCUGCAAUGGAACUGGCUAAAAUGAAGAAGAAGGACUUUGCGCGACUAACAAUCCAAUCCGUCGCGCAAAAUGCCGUCGCGAAAACCCACUUUUCCGUCGCACAAAAAAACAUUUCCGUCGCGCAAUUACCUGCCGACAUCAGGUUUUUUGCGCGACGAAUACAAUUAUCCGUCGCACAAACAUCCGUCGCGCAAAUAACAUUAUUCGUCGCGCAAGGUUUAUAUUACGUCGCGCAAAUAACACUUAUUUCGUCGCGCAAGAAAUUACACUUUACGCGACGAAGGUAAUUCCGUCGCGCAAAAAAGUUUUUUCCACCCUGCAUUUUGCCGCCAAAAUUAAGUAACCCUCGUUUUCUUACGCGACGGUACAUAUUUCCGUCGCGCUAAGGCGUCUUUUGCGACGAAAAUGUUCGUCGCGCAAGAUUCUGGCGCCAAAAACAUAAACUGGGGAUUUUUCCCCGACCUUUGCUCGACGAAAUUAGUUUUGGUCGCGCAUAGAUUGUUUGCGCAACGAAGAUUGUUCGUCGCGCUAGUGUUCUGCUGUUUGCGCUACGGUAUUUUUUUUUCGUCGCAAUAGUGAUUUUUGCGCGACGAAAAUAUAUUCGUCGCGCAAACGUCCGUCGCGCAAAUAGUAAAUCGUAGUAGUGUGAUUUGGUUUAGACUUGGUUUAAUUAUCAUUGUUGUGGUUGGUUCACCAAAAAGAUUUGGCUUAGAAUUACCAGUUUUGUUGUUGGUUUAGUUAUGCUUGGCAUUUGAGGAUCCUAUGCUUACUUGUAUGGGUAAUACAUUUUAUUGAUCGUUUCAUAUACUAAUUAUGAACUUUUAGUUCCAUUGUGCAUUUAAGAGUACACAUAUUUCAUAUGUAAUUCGAAAGUUUGUCGCUGAAAUUUCUGAGAAUUUGAAACUAGAUAAGCACACCUUGCACAAAGUUCAUAUAUUUUCUUCCAGCAAGUCUGUCUAUUAACCCCCCUUAUCUGAAAUUAAUUGUUAAAAGUUCUGAUUCAUCUUUAAUCAUUGUCUUACCCUUGUUGAAUAACACUCCUCAUUCUAAUUUAUAUUCGAAGUUUGAGGUUUCAAUUUCAAUUGUGGGCUUUGAUUUUACAGAUUUUGUUUGUCAAUUUCAAUUUGGACAAAGCAUAUGCAAACAAAGUAAGGCAUUAUCUAUUAUUUGGAUCAUUUCCAUAUGUUUAUAUGUUUUUAAUAUCAUUUGCCUAUGUAGUUGACAUGUUAUAACAUUUUCGUAGUGUUGAAUAUAUAUAUAUAAUAAUUUUAUUUUAGUGGAUGUGAGAUCUCAGUUUGUUGCUUUAUAUAAUUAUUUCUUUGCAAUUUAAUUUUUUUUAUCAGUCAUACUAUUGUUGACGGCUAAAAACCAUCAAGAAACAACUCUUAAGUUUUUUAAAAAAUAAAUAAAUAAAUAAAGAUUUGUUGAUGCUUAAAAAGCAUCAAGAAAAGAUAGUUUCUUGACGGUUUUGUGACGUUUCAUAACCGUCAUGAAACAUUACAUUUUGACGAACGUCUUUCUGAUAGUGGCAUCCGUGACGCUUUCCGAGCCAUCAAUUAAGGGCUAUCGUGAUGCUUUUUAGUUGUCAGCAAAAGGUGUUUUUCUUGUACUGUAUUCACUCAAAAUCGUUUUUCAUUUAGGGUUGCUAGUGUGGUUGAAUGCCAUUUGUUUUGUUAAUGAAUAUUAUACAUUAUGGAUUUUUGUAGAAAUGUCGCUUGAAAUUAUACCUCAGUUUCAAUUUGUCACCUUAAAGAAAAAUUUAAGAGAAAUGUCACCUUAAUUUUUCAAAAUCCACGAUUUGUCAUCUCACUUUAACAUCAUCCAAUUUUCCAUCUAUUUUAAGGGUAUUUUAGUCUUUUCAUUUUCAAGGGAAAAAAAGAGAGGAAGAAAAAGACCUCUCUCUUACUUUCUCCCCCAACCCAACCCCACCCGCCCCCCAAAACACAUCGCAUAGGACCGCCUCCCCCUUCCCCACAUUUCUUUUUUCUUUUUGGCCUACUUUUCCACUAUGUUUAUGUUGAAGGAUCUAAAGUUUUCUUGGUCACCAUCUAUUACGUAGGCUACCGACUUGUUGGUUUGGGUGGGUUGAGGGAAUUUGUGUGUGGAGGGCAGGUGUUCAUGUUGUGUGCACCAAGACCUUAUCGUUGAUGAACUAUGUGACGGCACACACACAAACUCGUUGAGAAUAAAACAAACAUACCACCAAGAGAGUAAAACAAACACACAAGGACACAAAGAUUUAUAGAGGUUCGGCCUCCUGCCUACGUCUUUUUGGUGAUUCACUCGAGAAAUUCACUAGUAUGUAAAAAUAACUUUGGUUACAACUGAACCCCCUUAGCCCUCACAAGAACCUUAGAUCUCUUUUCUCUCACCCUUGCUCAAACCCUUUGAUGCCCUUGUAGACACUCAAGAAUUCACCCUUGAAUUCUAUCUUGUGUUACAUCUUCUCUUCUCCCUUUUGUUAACCUAACCCUAAAAGUCCUAUUUAUAAUGCAUAGGACUUAAGUUACAAGUUAACUUGGAAUAGGAAACAUAAAAUACCCCAAAAAUUGGAGAAAAUCUGUCCAAAUCUAGCCUGCAAAAUCAUCCUUCUGCCGCUCGAGCUGCCGGUGGCGCUCAUGGGAUGGGGGAAUUGGAGAUUUUCUUUUCAAUUUUAAUUGUUUAAAAGAUAUACAAUUUUUUAUUAUAAUAAUUUUUCCAUUUUUAAAAUACACUUGAAAAUAGAAAGCUUAAAAUGCCCUUAAAAAUAGAUGGAAAAUUGGAUGGUGUUAAAGUCAGAUGACAAAUCAUGGAUUUUGAAAAAUUAAGGUGACAUUUCUCUGAAAUUUUUCUUUUAAAAGUGACAAAUUGAAACUGAGGUAUAAGUUCAGGCGACAUUUCUACAAAAAUCCCUAUACAUUACAAUAUUAUAACAAUAAAAUUGGCUAAAAUUGAUAUGUUCCCUCUUUUCUUUUCUUUUUCUCUUUUCCUUUUCAUUUUAUGCUUUGUUGCUAUUGCUAUGUUUAUCCUACAAAUAUAGCAACUUCUCCACCAUUCAUUUGUUAGUGACUACGAUGCUUAGUAACUUCUUCAGCUCCCCUUAUUUCCAUGUACUAACCAGGGACACCAGGUCAGCAUCUUCGGUAAGAAUCCUAACUCAAUCAAACAAUGACAUCUGUAAAUAUUCAAAAUUGGAAUUUGCAUUGUGAUAGUUGAAAGCAUCCUUGUCCCAAAAAAAGCCAAAAAAUAAAAUAAAAUUGAGAGCAUUAAGUCCUUUUCAAAUUAUGCUAAUAUGCAAAAUUGGAAUUUUGAUGGAGUUGCUUCCUUGACUUUUCCACCUUUGUAUCCAGUCCACUUUGCACAAGGAGCCAAGUUUGAGAGAUAGUUUUCUGUAUUUACACCAUCCAGGAGAAAAUUAAAAAACUAUUUCAUGCCAAACUAACUACGGAUUCUUGCAAAGGACCCAUUAGUGUAGUGGUUUGGAGUAUUUACUCCCUCAGGCAAGGUCUUGGGUUCGAGUCCUAGCAUUCAUGUUGUGUGUGUGAGUUUAAUAUGCUAUCACCCCUUCCAAUAGGAAAGGACCUCAAAAAAAAAAAAAAAACUACAGAUUCUUUAAUUGAAAGAAACCCCAUAUUAAUCAUCCUUUGGCACAUAAAUGUUUGGUAAUUGGCAUUAAAGUAUCUAAAGGUUACGAAAUUAAAGAUUUUAAUGCAAACCUAAAAUUGGAAAAGAGGGCACCAAUUCAUGUAAAAUAUGGUGUACUUAGUAGAUCCAACAUAUUUUUUUAGCAACCAAGGACAAUCAUCAUUUUUUUUUUUAAGAACCAAGGAUAGCUUACAUUCUAGUUUGUCCAUCAUGUCAACACAUUUAUAAUUAAAACUUCUUUUUUGGUGAGGUUUCAAUUUUUGUCACUGUAACAAGACCACAAUUGCCAUUCAGUAUGCUAACAUUGUCACUAUGUUUGCCAAUUGCAUAUUAUCUAGAACAUAAAGGCUUUGGUGUUUUGUAUAUCCUCGGGGUGCCAAACCUGUCUUUAUAAAAAUGGUCCUUAUGAUACUACUUUAACAACAAAAAAAUAUAAUAAACUAGGCCUUUGUAGUCACUGAACGAAUGUUUUCUCAUAGAUAUGACUAUUUAAAUGUAAUUACGGGAUUAAAACAUUAUAAUAAAUUGGAGUGAACCAUAACAUUAUAUAUGAUCCAAUCCUUUUCAUAUAUUUUUGUUCAAGACUUUGUUUUAGAAUGCUCUUUUACUAAUUUGGUACAGGUCCCUAAAAUCUACGCCUUUAUGAGGCAACGUCUUUAUUUCUUUGGUUAUUCCAGUUUAGAAUAUAUUUGUACAAAUGAGAUGACUCCCAACAUAAAGUCACAUUCAACCAAAAAGCAUGAAGUCACACACAAAAAGAACACGGACAAUUGCUAAGUUUAUCUUGUAUCCUUAUUUUAUUGAUCCAACCCAAUUGAAAAAUAAAAAAGAUGAUAUAAUAUAUUGUUCACUGCUUACAUCCAUGAGUAAAGUCCUCCAUUUGAAAUUGCGUGAUUAUACAAAAUUGGAAUGAAAAAAGAAAAUCCUACAACUAAAUUUGAUAUAUUCCUUUUCAUUUUAUGUUGGAUGUUAAGUUUUCUUGUUUCUUGUUGAAAAGAAAAAUGAAAAGAAAUAAAUAAAUUACACAGCUAGCAACUUCUCCACCUUCCCUUCUUCCCAUGUACUGACAACAAGGGAGGCCUUCAAUCCAAAAUAAAGACAAGGGAUGCCAGGUCAGCAUCUCAGAUAAGUAUCCCAACCAAAACCAAUCAAAUAAUGACAUAUGUAUCUCUUUUUGUGUUUUGUUCUAUUUCUCUUUGAAUUAACUGCGAAGUUUCAUAAGCGUGUCCUCCUUUUGAAAUUGUGUAUUAUUCAAAAUUGGAAUUUGCUGGUCAUACUUGAUAUAAGCUAAAACAGUUUCCAACAUCUUGUACCAUUUUUUUCCAGUGUGGGUCAUAACUUGAAGAAGCCCACCGACAAUUUCUCAAAAGCUAUUACCAUCCAACUUUGAAAAAUAAAAGUUUCAAAAGUUACCCCAAACAACAGCCCUUGAAAGAGAGUUUUCCAAGGCUAAAGAUUACAAGGAUGUUAUUGGCACAUGCAUUAACGUGUGACAAGAAGUUAGUUAUAUUUAUAAAGUAAAAGAACGAAGUACAUAACAUGUAAGUUGAUGCCAAAUAUUUGAUCAACAGAGCUAAACAUAAAACCACGACAAUAUAACGUUGUUCACCAAAAAUUGUGUUUCGUUGAGGGUCAGUAGUGUAGGUUUCAAGAUACGAUUUAUUUUGUUAAAGAAUAUUCUGAUAUUCUAACAAUAAAAUUGGCUCAAUUUGAUAUGUUUCUUUUUUUUUUUGUUUUUGUUUUCCCUUUCAUUUUAUGCUUUGUUGUGCUAUUGCUAAGUUUAUCCUAGAGACCAGGGAUGCUUAGCAAGUUUCUUCACCUGCCCUUCUUCCCAUGUACUAACUAGGGAUACCAUGUCAGAAUCUUAGAUAAGAAUCCCAACCCAAUCAAACUAUGACAUCUGUAAGUAUUCAAAAUUGGAAUUUGCAUUGUGAUAGUUGAGUGGAAGAAUCGAUUAAGGCUUGAGUGGAAGACAAACUUCAGUGGAGGAAAGUAAUUAAUCUCACAAGACAUAGCCCAUCAGUUGGCUCAUUUUUCUUGAGUGUGUAGUCCUGGCCUUGAGGCGAGGCCACAUUGCUUUGGAGAUUUCUUUCUACUUGGUGAAAUUAUAAUUUAGAAGAAGCAAACUGCGUUUUGCAAUUUGUGCGAUUCAAGCAUAUCUGACACUAGUAAUUAGACCAUAAUCUUUGUCCGACCAGAAAAUAAGAAAAGUUGUCUUGUACCAUUUCUGCCAGUGUGGGUCCCACCCACCCCAUACGAGUAAUUUGAAGAAGUCCACCGACAAUUUCCCAAAAGCUUUGGCGUCCAACUUUGCCGACCCCAUCCCCAUGUGAGGCCAUAGAAAAGUUUUCAGCCACAAUCAAAGAAGGGAACAGUCCUUGAAAAGAGAGGGUUUUCCAAGGCCAAGAUUACAAGUUCAUGUUAUUUACAGUCUCAAAAAGCUUCCAUACUUGUUUACAAACCUGUAUUUUCAAGUUGUGCUAGCCUAGCUAUUUGCAAAUCUUGGAAUAUUUUACUUCAUCCAAAUCCCUUGCAGUCUGCAGAGAAGAUAAAAGACAUGGCUUUGAUUGGAGAGGCUCUUAUCUCUGCUUCCGUCCAGGUGUUGUGCGACAGAAUUACUUCACCCGAGUUCGUUGACUUAUUUUGGCACAAGAAACUCGAUGAGCCACUCCUCAGGAAGCUGAGGACGACACUGUUGGCCUUGAACUUGGUGCUCAAUGAUGCAGAGGGGAAGCAACUUGUGAACCGAGAUGUGAAAAAGUGGCUUGACGAGCUCAGACAUGCUGUCUUUGAUGCGGAGGACUUACUGGAUGAGAUUGACACUGAAGCUUUGCGAUGCAAGCUGGAAGAAGGUGAAGAUCAAACUCACAAAUUUACCAAUAAGGUGCGGAACUUGCUCUUUUCUCCUCGUAGUCAUUUUUAUCAGAGCAUGAAUGAUAAGAUAAAAGAGUUACUAGCAAGGUUAGAAAACUUUGUACAACUGAAAAGUGCUCUUGGUCUGGGAGAAGUUGCUGGGAGGAAGGUUUCGCAAAGAACUCAAACAACCUCCUUGGUUCUUGAACCUUAUGUAUAUGGUAGAGAUGAAGUCAAAGAAAAGUUAUCAAAAGUGUUGCUAUCUGAUGAAGCAGGCAAGGAUCCUGUGUCUUUCCUCACCAUUGUUGGAAUGGGUGGGGUUGGCAAGACAACCCUUGCUCGAAUGCUUUACAAUGACGAUAAGGUGAAAGGGCAUUUUAAACUUAAAGCUUGGGCUUGUGUUUCAGACUACGAUGAUUAUAUUAAAAUUACUAAAACUCUCCUUGAGGCAGUCACUUCAAAGCCUUGUAACACGGCAAAUCUGAAUUUGCUUCAAAAAGAUCUAAGAGAGCAAUUGAGGGGAAGGAAAUUUUUAUUUGUGUUGACCUAUGGAAUGAGAAUAAUGAGGAUUUGAACUACCUUAGAGCUCUUUUUAUUACUUUAGGAACAAUGGGAAGUAAAGUCAUUGUAACAACACGGAACAAAAAUGCAGCAUCUGUCAUGCAAAAUGUUCAUAUUCAAUACUUAGAACCAUUGUCGUAGGAGGACUGCUGGUUAUUACUUGCAAAACAUGCAUUUGGAAAUGAAAAGUGUAGUGCACAUUCAAACUUGGAAGACAUUGGAAAGCAAAUUGCACUCAAGUGCAAAGGGUUGCCUUUAGCUGCACAAACACUUGGGAGUUUGUUACGUUGCAAUAUGGAUUUCGAGUACUGGAAUAGAAUACUAAAUGAUAGUUUUUGGGACCAACCCUAUGAUAAAACUAACAUUCUUCCGGCUCUAGGGUUGAGUUACCAUUAUCUUCCUACUCAGUUGAAACGAUGCUUUGCUUAUUGUUCAAUUUUUCCAAAGGAUUAUGAGUUUGAAAAGGAAGAUAUAGUUCAAUUAUGGAUUGCAGAAGGUAUAAUUCCACAAGCUGAGAAUGGAAAAAGGAUGGAAGCAUUGGCUAGAAUAUACUUUGAUGAGCUGUUAUCACGAUCGUUGUUUCAAAAGUCAAGUAAAUUCAGCUUCAUUAUGCAUGAUCUCAUUAAUGACUUGGCUAUGUUCAUGUCUCAGGGGUUUUGCCUUAGGCUCGAAGAUGGGGUAUCCCGUGAAGUUAAAAGAGCUCGUCAUUUGUCAUAUGCUAGGGGAGAAUUUGAUGCUGCUCCAAGAUUUGAACCAUUAUAUGAGGCUAAAUGUUUGCGGACCUUCCUACCUACCAUUUGUUGUGGGCAAAUCUACUGGAUCAGGCAUAAGAGAACUGAGGCAGUUCCCGCAACUUCGAGGAAAACUAUCAAUUUUGAAGCUACAAAAUGUAGUUGAUGCGAGGGAUGCACUGCACGCCAAUAUGAAGCACAAGAAAGAUCUCAAGGAGUUAGAGCUUUCAUGGGGUGCGGAGGAUGCUGAUGAUUCCCAAAAGGAGAAAGAUGUACUCGACAAGCUCCAGCCUUGCGUGAAUUUGGAGAAAUUAACCAUCAAAUUCUAUGGUGGAACUAAUUUUCCGAAUUGGUUAGGAGACUCGUCUUUUUCUAACAUACAAGUCAUGCAUCUCAGUGACUGUAGUUAUUGUUGGUCGCUCCCACCAGUUGGACCGCUACCGGCACUCAAACAGCUCUGUAUAAGAAGAAUGAAGUUUGUGAAGACGAUUGGCGUUGAAUUCUAUGGCAGAAAUGGAGCUUAUCUGACUCAGCCAUUUCGAUCUCUGGAGAAGCUAGAGUUUAGGGAGAUGCCAGAGUGGGAGGAAUGGGUACCAAGUGGAAGUGCAAGUGGAGGUGAAUAUGGUCCAGACUUUCCUCGUCUCCAGGAGCUGAUUCUAUACGAGUGUCCGAAGCUAAGAGGAAGUUUGCCUUGUGAGUUGCCUUGCUUGAAGAAGCUUACGGUGUAUGGGUGUAAGGUUUUACAUGAUGGAAGGGCCAUUACCGCAACUACCAAUAGUCUUAACUAUAAAUCUCUGGAAGAAUUGAAUAUAAGUGGUGGAUGCCAAACUCUGUUAUCAUUAUUAGAGACAAAGCUCCUGUCCGGACUUGAGAUUCGAAAUGUUGUUGACAUACAGUGCUUGCCCAACUGCAGUCGUCUUCAACAUUUGACUCUUUCGAAUUGUCCAACGCUGUCAUCAUUUCCCAAAGAUGGCCUACCCACUACAUUGACAUCACUUUAUAUAAACAAUUGUAGGAAAUUAGAAUUCCUACCUCAUGAGAUGUUGGCCAAAUUAACAUCGCUUGACUAUUUGUGCAUACAAAAUAGCUGUGAUUCAAUGAGGUCCUUCCCGUUGGGCAUUUUUCCCAAAUUGACGAGGCUUGAAAUUCGUGGUUGUGAGAAUCUGGAAUCCCUUUCCUUGAUUGAAGAAGAAGGAGCUGUUGAGAAUCUCAGCCAUCUCAAUUACUUGCAAGUCUAUAACUGUCCAAAAAUGGUGUGUUUUCACGAGGGAGAAUUGCCCACUCCCAACCUGAGUCACUUUGUAGUCGGUGGUUGCGAGAAUUUGAAGUCAUUGCCCAAAAGCCUUCACACCCUCACUGCCCUUCGAUCUUUGUCGAUAUGUAAUCUUCCGAAUCUGGAGUCAUUUGCAGAAGAUGGGGGUUUGCCUCCCAACCUCCGACAAGUAAGUAUUAGGAAUUGUGAGAGACUGAGGGCUUCAUCAGUGGGUUUGCAAGCACUUGACUCCCUUGAGAUCAGUGGAAGUGACCAUGUAUUCUCUAUCACACUCUUCACAUCUAUUCUCUAUCAACUCUGAAAUCUUUGGACGGAAAGGGUCUUGGACACCUCACUUCUCUUCAAGAGCUAGAUAUUAACAGGUGUCCAAGUCUGGAAUUCCUGCCAGGAGAGGAACUUCAACACCUCACUUCUCUUCAAAAUCUAUACAUUUGGAACUGUCCCAGUCUUCAAUGCUUGCCAGAAGAGGGUUUUCCAUCAUCUCUUUCUCAUCUGAGUAUCCGCCGGUGUCCUACCCUGGAGGAAAGGUAUAAGAAUAAAACGGGACGAGAUUGGGCCAAGAUAUCUCACAUUCCUUGCAUCGAGAUAGGCAACGAAGUGAUCAUAUAAUAUGAGCUAUUCCAUAUUUCACGCUCAACCCUCAACUCUCAAAUCAAAGUCAGGUGAGGUAUGUGCCUUCUCUUACUUUAAAAAACUGCUGCUCAAUAACACUCUUCGCACUCUAUAUAUUAUGGCCUGUCAGUCUAAAAUUCCUGCCAGGAGAGGAACUUGAACGCCUCUCUUCACUGCAAAGGCUACAUAUUUGUGGGUGUGACAAUAUCCAAUUCCUGCCAGAAGAGCGUUUGCUGCAAUCUCUUUCUUAUCUGUGCAUCGACCAUUGUUUUGCCAUGUAGAAAAGGUAUCUCACAUUCCUUGCGUCAAGAUAGGUGAAGAAGUGAUCAUAAGAUAUGAGCUCUCUCUCCCUCUCGCUCACAUACAAAGUACUUAAAACACUCAAUCUGAUUUCUAUUAUUAUUUUGCUCAGUAAAUUUUGUUUAAAUUUGCUUUGUUUCUCAUUGCGCUUGUUCUGCUUAUCACAACUUAUAUCCUAUUUAAAUCUCAAAUGCUGAAUAGUUAGCAGUCUUUUCGCAGGACAGCAUAUCUUCUCUUGGAGAGCUAUUCAUUUGCAAGGUUUCUUUAUGUGUCAUUUCCAGAGGAGGGUUUACUAUUUAAUAGAAAGGUUCACCUGGAAUAUCUCAAAUGACACAUUCCCAAAUACAGGCAUUGAAUGCACAACAUUUUGAGGUACUAUUUUUGUAAUAAAAAUGUACUUGAGUCUCAUUUGAGCUAGUUUAAAUUGUAUUCAAUGUCUAUGGAUAACCUGUGAGCUUAAGUUGUAAGAUAAAACUCACAGUAUAUUAUUAGGGUUUAGGGUUCAACAGGUGAGCUUAAGUUGUACUUUCCUAGGUACUGCAUGUAUAUUAUCUUAGUAUCAACACUUGGUCUUAUGUGGACGAGAGAGAACAUUUGAGGAAUUACAAAAUCUUCUUAGUGAAUUAAGCUUGUUUCAGCUCUGUUUGUCAUCCCUCACAUUUUCUUUGUUAAGCCUUGAUUUUUUAUUAGACAUACGAAAAAAUGCUUUUAUAAGACAGGAGAUGAAUGCUUUUAUAUGUUGAUGUCGUAGUCAGUCUUCAACCACACUCUGUUUUUAGAAUUCAUUUAUGUUACUAGUUGAGAGCUGCUGUAUUUUAUAUUUCGUUCCUGUAAUGUUUGGAUGUUUAGCUUGAGCAGUCUAGCUUAUCCAGUAGAUAACUUGUCCCCUGUUUUGUAAUGUUUUUGUUUCCUCUAAUGAAAGCAGGUUUUACUUAUCUUGAACUGCAGAAGCCUACUUUUUGACAUAGGUGGCAUGGCACAAACUCGCAUCCGCAUUUCCAUCCCCAUUGGCAUGCUGUCUCAUCUUUUCUAUUCUGUUACCAGCUUGAAGCUUGUGUGGACAUGUUAUGCUCUUGUAAUUCUGAUCACAAACAUCACUUGACAAAUGGAAAGUCACAAUCAGAUCUUUCAGGUGAUCUGGAGGUUUACUUUCUAACAUUUGUUUUCGUGGGGGGGAGACAACAAUACAGAAUUUAAAAUUUCUGAUAAUCAAUAGUAGUUUGCAUAUAUCAGCUGGGACCUGUAUGACUGUAUUAUGUAAUUAAUUAUUUCUCUUAUUGUUUGGGUACUGUUAAAAGGAGUUAGCCACACAACAUAAAAAAGGAGGUCUCUUAUUUCAUACAAUUUUUCAAAUGUGAUCAUUAAUCCGUUUCUUUUUCAACAAUAGAGGAAUGUAUACUAAUCGUCUGGUCCAUCUGCUGCUUCACUCCCUAGUAGCUUCAUCUCCUGUCCUUUGCUUUAUUUCUGUUGAUGAAUGUUUUGUCUGGGUUAUUUAUUUUCAUUUCAUGUCCAUUGCUUUAUUUCUGUUUGGAUUCUUAAUUAAAUCUGUCCUGGACUUGAACAAGGGUUAGGUUAGCUGUAUAAUUUGCGGUUUUAUAUACACAACUGUCUACAUUGAUUAAAACCAGCAUUAUUCUAAGGUUCAUUUAGAAUGUAUUAUCACCAAAAUUAUAAAGAAUACUUCUAUUACAAUUAAUUUGUUGAUUCUAAUUUGGACUUGUAGGAACAGACCAAACAUGUUCAUGCGUGGCAUUGCUCAAGUCAUCAUCAUUCGAGACAGAGAAUAAGCCUUCAAGUGUCUGCUGAGUCAAUGAACCUUUCUAGAUAUCUCAAGUGUAAUGGAAAUUGAUGAGUUACAAAGGAUUUGUAAACAUUUUCUACUGGAGGCUAGAAAUGCUUCAAAUAAAUGACCGUGUUGCAAUUAUUUUGUAGGAUCAAAGACUCUGCAAAGAGGUAAGAAAGUCAUCAUCAAGUAACUUUGCUCUUCAAACUUUUUAUUUUUAUUUUUAAAUAUCAGUAAUAACUGGGAAAGCUUGCAUCUCCUUAAAUUGCUCAUUCUUACAUCUUUUAUAGUUUGUUGAUCUUGGGCAAGUGGAGAGAGAGGCGUCAAGUGAUACGCAACAACCAUUUUCUGUGAGCUGAUUUGAUAAAGAGAAAUGGUAUGCUUUCUUGUCUUAAGCGGUGUGUUCUGCAAUUAUUUGAAACAAAGGAUGCCGCACUUCAAGUUCGAGAAAAUCAGGUAUUUUAGUAUUUUAUUCUUGAGAAAUUUGAUUUAUGUAGAAACUUGAACAUGUAAAUAAAAUAAAUAAAAUAUAUUAUAUGCUGUUAAUGAGUUAAUAUGGUGCUUGCUUCUAGUUGGAAAUUUAUGUAGUCAUCUACCUAUGAUCAAAUAAAGAUGAAGAAUAAAAUAUAAUUGAGAGCAUCUUCCUCUCCCCUGCUUUGCUCAUCCCUUGUUCUUCCACUUCAGCCCCACUAUUACACCAUUUUUUCAGCCACAAUUAUAAUAGCUCCAUGAGCAUUAAGUCCUUUUCAAAUUCUGCUGACAUUCAAAAUUGGAAUUUGCUGGUGAUAUAUGAUAGCAUCUUUGUCCGACCAAAAAGAGAAAAAAAAAAAGUUGAUAGCAUAUUGUACCAUUUUGGCCAGUGUACGCAAUAUUAUUGCAUCCAACUUUGCAUAUUAACAUCAGUGGCCACAGUUCCAUGAUUUGAGUGCACAGAAAAGUUUCAAAAGUUGUCCCACAAAGAACAGUCGUUCAAAGUGAAAGAGAGAUUUCAAAGCUUAAUUACAAGUUCAUGUUAUUUACAAUAUCAAAAAGCUUUCAUACUUGCUUACAAACCUGUAUUUCCAAGUUCUGCAAACCUUGGAAUAUCACUUCAUCCAAAUCCCCUUCCAAAGCAGGAAAAAAUGGCAGCAGCUUUGAUUGGAGAGGCUCUCAUCUCUGCUUCUAUCGUGGUGUUGUGUGACAGAGUUACUUCAGCCGAGUUCAUAGACUUAUUUCAGCAGAAGAAACUUGAUGAAACACUCCUCAUGAACCUGAAGACGACACUGUUGAUUUUGUUUGCGGUGCUCAAUGAUUCAGAGGAGAAGCAAAUUGUGAACCCUGAAGCUUUGCGAUGCAAGCUGGAAGGUGAGGAUCAAACCCACAAUAAUUAACCAAAAAGGAUCUUUUUGAUUGUUUGAAAGGAGGGUCUUGAUGAUUUGAAAGGAGAGGGUUGCUUUAUUUCUGUUGGAUGCUUAAUUAAAUCUUAUUUGGAGUUGAACAAGGAUUAGGUUAGCUGUAUAAUUAGUGGUAAACGCCUUUUUCUAAGGGUCAUUUAGACUCCUAUUACGAUUAAUUUGUUGUUUCUAAUUUGGACUUGUAGGAACAGACCAAAUAUGUUCACACGUGGCAUCGCUCAAGUCAUCAUCAUUUCAGACUGAAAAUCAGCCUUCGAGUGUCUGUUGAGUCAAUAAACCUUUCUAGAUAUAUCAAGUGCAAUGGAAAUUCAUGAGUUACAUAGAGAUUUUUAAACAUUUUGAAGAUUGCAACACCUGCAAGUGAGAUAGGCGGUGACGAAAUCAGAGCUGAUUUUGAAGCCUCUGAUGCCCCUGUUGUUGCAAGUUGCACCUGAGAACAAGUUUUUUUUUUCUUUGGGGUAAAAAACUGGCAACAUGUUCGGAGCUGACAAUUCAAUCCCUGAUGAACUAGAGAAGCAAAGCUCCGGUAAGGAAAUUGGUCAAGGUUGUGACAGGGAUGAUUGAUGGUGAAAUGGAUGCUAUUUCUUAUUGCAGCCUGUUCUCAAAGUUCUUGUUGGCAAAUGCAAUUGAUGGAGUAUUUUGAUUGGGAGGAGAGAUAAUGACAUGGCUUGACAAUUCUAGAACAGCCCAUCAUUAAUCCCAGAAAAAAUCCCGUUUCUGCUAAACAAUCACUUAUGGCAAGGCCAACUCUGUAAAUGGAAUUUGUGAUCCCUUCAAAUUGUACACAUUUUUUCUUUUUGAGGAAUUUAAUCAAACAGUAUUCUAAUGCAUUAUGAUAGCACUACACGCUUUUGUUGUAACAAAUUACAAGGAGGAAUUUGGAUUGAGUUUCUUGUAUAAGCACACCUUACACAAAUUUCGUAUAUUUUCUUCCAGCAAGUCUGUUUAUUAACCCCCUUAUCUGAAAUUAAUUGUUAAAAGUUUUGAUUCAUCUUUAAUCAGUGUCUUACCCUUGUUGAAUAACACUCCUCUUUCUAAUUUAUAUUUGAAGUUUGAGCUUUCAAUUUCAAUUGUGGGCUUUGAUUUUUCAGAUUUUGUUUGUCAAUUUCAGUUUGGACAAAGCAUAUAUGCAAACAAAGUAAGCAUUUUAUGUUAUACUUUUGAACUAGGUGUUGAUUUGAUUUAAUCAUAAGUUUUGCUGGUGCAUUUACUAGGCUAAUCAUUCAAUACUUUUGAUCAUAGAACUUCUUUGGUUGAUAUUAUCUUUGUUAAGUUUAACCAUAACUUUAGAGAGGGGACUUCAACAGAUUUAUAAUCUCAUCAUUAUAGUAUUAAAAAUUAGAGAUUAUUUAAGGCAUUGUCUAUUAUCUGAAUUCUGCUUACUUUUAGUUCAUAUGUUUACAUCUUAGCAUAUUCAUGUGAUUAGUGCGGCUCAUACCACAAAGGCAAUUUUAGGCUCAUCAAGUGCUAAGCAAUGUCAAGCUUCCAAAUGACAAGUUCUCUACAUAGUUUGAGACCUACACUUACUAGAUAUUAGAUCAUUUCGAUCAUUUCCAUAUGUUUAUAUGUAAUUGACAUGUUAUAACAUUUUUGUAGCGUUAUAUAAUUAUUUAGCAAUUUAAUUAUUUCUUUGCAACUUAAUUUUUUUUGUCAAUCAUACUAUUGUUGACUGCUAAAAACCAUCAAGAAAUAGUUCUCAAGUUAUAAAAAAAAAAAAAUUUUAAAAAAGAUUUGUUGAUGCUUAAAAAGCAUCAAGAACAGAUAGUUUCUUGACGGUUUUGUGACAUUUCAUAACUGUAGGGGGCUUUUUCUUCCGACAGCUGUAAAUGGGCUGGGCUGCCGUAAAGGGCAGACUGAUGAAAUUGUCCCCUUUUGUAUGAGCUCAAAAAUUAAGCCCCAAAAUACUUUGAAAGGGCAGCAGAGCCUUAGGAAGUAUUUUGGUUACCCUCACCAACUAAAACAACAACAACUUACAGGUAAUUACUUAAUGCUUAUGGAUGAACUCUUGAGCUUGGCAUGAGAGACAUAUGGCAUGGAAGCAAAAUCAACAUGAGUUUAGCACUGAGGGGAAAUUUAGGCUCUCUUGGGGGAAAAAGGGAAGUGUUAAGGUGAGAGAGGAGAAGUUUGUAGGAGAUUUAGCUAAGAAAGGAGAAAUAUAGAACAAUGCUCUUUUGGCAGCUUGACAGAUGCUCUGUUUGCCAGAAAAGGAAGAUGGAGAAGAAAUGUGAAUAGUGCAAGAGUUUGCUAGAUUUUUGCAGGUAAGAGAGGAAGCUUGCUCUCUGGGUCUGAGUUGAGUUUUUUUGUGUGGAAGAGACCUCAUUUUAUAGCCCUUGGAAACCAUCACUUCCCAAGAAACCCUAAUGGCUUCUACCCAUUUUGGCCAAGCUUUUCCCUUCCUUUCUCAUUUCCUUCCUUGACUUUACCCCUCUUGAUGAAAUCCCCUCUGCCUAUUUGCACCAUAUCAGAGUUUUUUGAAGCUCAAGGCCCCUUUUUCCCGCAGUUGUCUCAAUGGGAGACUUCCAUUCCCAGUCAUCUCCUUUAUUGCUUUCCUUUCUUUUUUUCAUGGCCAAGUUUGGUGGGGAAAGGAGUUGGGAUAUAUAUGCUGGUUUGAAGGGUGCUUCUCUUCCUGGCAUCUUACACACUAAUACCCCUUGGUUCCUUGAAUGUUUUGGCUUUGAAACUUGCUCUCCCCCCCCCCCCCCCCCCCCCCAUGUACUGGAACCUACCAGCAGCUCUAUUCAAUGAAUCUUCAGACCUUCUCUUCGUGGCUUUUAUUUUUUAUCAACGGGCUGGGGCUUUUGUGGCUCAUUGUGGCAAUUGUAUGGGCUAAGGUGGUUCAUUAAGUAAGUGGGCUAUUUUUAUUAAACAUUAGGCUUUUUGGUUGAGUCACUAGGCUAUUUUGAUUGGGCUAUUGGGCUAUUUUUUUCCUCUCUUGUGCUCACCCACAUGUUUGGACCAAAGAAAUGAGCUUGAGUCCUGAGGCUCCCAAGCGACCCGAGACUUUCCAUUUCUGGCCCAUCAAUGGGCCUCAUGUUGAUUUAUUACCAUCCAUACCACAACCCACUCAAGCAGGCUCCGGGCAUUUGAAUGACUUGGGCGCACUUAGGCUUGUAGUGUGGUUGGGUGCGAAAUAACGAUUUCGUGCUUGGCAUGUUUUAAUUUUAUCAUCCUUGGGAAAGGCUGCGAUGUUUGAUUUCGGCAUGGGCUUGUAGAGCUGGUAUGCUUUAUUUCAACUCCUAGCAUGACGAAUUAUUUAUUUAGCAUGGCACGUGAAUUACAACUCGCAUGUGGUGGGUUUUUGUGUACUACACCUUACGCCUCUUCUUAAUAGAACAUCGUUUUGGGCUGAUAAUUUAUUCGGGCCAAACCGUGAAUUUUUUGGGUCUCAAUAAUAACCAUCAUGAAACAUUACAUUUUGACUGACGUCAAGAAAUGGGGUAUCCCUUUCCUGAUAGUGGCAUCCAUGAUGCCUUCCAAGCAGUCAAUUAAGGGCUAUCGUGAUGCAUUUUAGUUGUCAGCAAAAGGUGUUUUUCUUGUACUGUAUUCACUCAAAGUCGUGUUUCAUUUAAGAUUAGUAGUAUGGUUGAAUACCAUUUGUUUUGUUAAAGAAUAUUAUACAUUAGGGAUUUUUGUAGAAAUGUCAUUUGAACUUAUACCUUAGUUUCAAUUUGUCACCUUGAAGAAAAAUUUAAGAGAAAUGUCACCUUAAUUUUUAAAAAUCCAUGAUUUGUCAUAUGACUUUAAAAUCAUCCAAUUUUCCAUCCAUUUUAAGGGUAUUUUAGUCUUUUCAUUUUGAAGGAAAAAAAAGAGAUGAAAAAAGAGACCUCUCUCUUACUUUGUCCCUCAACCCAACCCCACCCGCCCCCCAAAACACAUCACAUAGGAUUGCCUCCCCCUUCCCCACUUUUCUUUUUUCUUUUUGUCCUACUUUUCCACUAUGUUUAUGUUGAAGGAUCUAAAGUUUGCUUGGUCACCAUCUGUUACGUAGGCUUCCCAAUUGUUAGUUUGGGUGGGUUGUGGGAAUUUGUGUGCUCGAAACCCGAGACGAAUCUUGUGGAAUUCCCGACAUCACACCGAUGCCGGGCCCACUUCUGAACUAAAUUCUCUUUUCCAAAAUUAAGGAAAAAGAGUACGAGGCUUUCUGCCGAAAUUUCGACAGAGUAUUCCCUAUAAAUUUAACAUUUCAGCUUUGGUGGCCGUUCUCUCAUUUCAGCUUUGGUGGCCGGAUGAGAGAACGGUCGGCUAAAACGUGGCCAGCUGGCACUGCCGUCGCGAGAGAGAGAGAGAGAGAGAGAGAGAGAGAUUUUUAUCAAAUCAUUUUUGCCAAAAUUACGAUUAUGCAACUGAGGGUAUUUUGAUCGUAUCUUUUUCAUUAUAACUCUGAUUCAAGCCCACUACGUGUUUACGGACUCAUCUCGCCGUGCUCUAUGCAAUUGUAUAGUUGAAAUUCCCAAAUUCCACCCCAGUCAAAAAUUCAACUUUAAACCCUACAAAAUAUUAUAGGGGCAAAAUGGUCUUUUAUCUAAUUAAAUUAAUAAUUGAAAAUUUAUUUAGGACCGGGUUGUUACACUGUCGUUGAUGGACUGUGCGAUGACACUCACACAAAGUCCUUGAGAAUAAAACACACACACACCAUGAAGAGAGUAAAACAAAUACACAAGUACACAAAGAUUUAUAAAGGUUUGGCCUUCUGCCUACGUCCUCUUGGUGAUCCACCCGAGAAAUUCACUAGUACGUAAGAACAACUUUGGUUACAACUAAACCCCCUUAGCUUUCAUAAGAACCCUAGAUCUCUUUUCUCCCACCCUUGCUCCAACCCUUUGAUGCCCUUGUAAACACUCAAGAAUUCACCCUUGAAUUCUGUCAUGUGUUACAUCUUCUCUUCUCCCCUUUGUUAACCUAACCCUAAAAGUUAUAUUUAUAAUUCAUAGGACUUUAAGUACAAGUUAACUAGGAAUAGGAAACAUAAUAGACCUCAAAAAUUGGAGAAAAUAUGUUUAGAUCUCGUUAGGAAAUUGCACAACACGUGCGAUCCGCUCGAGCGCCUGCAAAAUGAUCCCUUUGUCGCUCAAGCUGCCGAUAGCUCAUGGGAUGGGGGAAUUAGAGAUUUUUUUUUUUUUCAAUUUUAAUUGUUUAAAAGAUAUACAAUUUUUUAAUAAUAAUUUUUCCAUUUUUAAAAUACCCUUGAAAAUAGAAAGAUUAAAAUGCCCUUAAAAAUGGAUGGAAAAUUGGAUUGCGUUAAGGUCAGUUGACAAAUCAUGGAUUUUGAAAAAUUAAGGUAACAUUUCUCUUAAAUUUUUCUUUAAAGUGACAAAUUAAAAUUGAGGUAUAAGUUCAAGUUACAUUUAUGCAAAAAUCCUUAUACAUUAUGAUAUUCUAACAAUAAAAUUGGCUAAAAUUGAUAUGUUCCCUCUUUAUUUUCUUUUUCUCUUUUCCUUUUCAUUUUAUGAUCCAAUCCUUUUCAUAUAUUUUUGUUCAAGACUUUGUUUUAGAAUGCUCUAUUACUAAUUUGGUACAGGUCCCUAAAAUCUCGGAGCCGCCUUAGUACAUUCAUAAUGUACAUGUUCAGAGUUCAAGAAUAAUGUAUAGAAUGUGAAAUUGACGAUGCCGGCCUUUAUGAGGCAACGUCUUUAUUUCUUUGGUUAUUACAGUUUAGAAUAUUUGCACAAAUGAGAUGAUUCCAAGCAUAAAGUCACAUUCGACCAAAAAGCAUGAAGUCACACACAAAAAGAACACGGACAAUUGCUAAGUUUAUCCUUGUACCCUUAUUUUAUUGAUCCGACCCAAUUGAAAAUUAAAAAAAGAUGAUAAAAAAUAUUGUUCACUACUUUAAAAUCUAUGAGUAGAGUCCUCCAUUUGAAAUUUCGUCAUUAUACAAAAUUGGAAUGAAAAAAGAAAAUCCUACAGCUAAAUUUGAUAUAUUUCCUUUUCAUUUUAUGCUGGGUGUUAGGGCUUGUCAAUGGGCCGGGCUAGGCUAGCCCGGCUCAAAUUUAAUGGGCUUGGGCUAGGCCGGGCCAAGCUUUAAAGAGGAGAGAGAAAAUAUCCGGCCGAGUUUUUUAAGAAAAUUCAAAGCCCAAGCCCGAAUCACUGCUGUCUAGCCCGGCCCAAAUUUAAUGAGCUUGGGCCAGGCCGAGCCAAGCUUUAAAGAGGAGAGAGAAAAUAUCCGGCCGAGUUUUUUAAGAAAAUUCAAAGCCCAAGCCCGAAUCACUGCUGUCAUUUCAUUGAUUUGUGACGAGCACAACCACCAAAUCAGAAUUUACUCACGAAAAUAUCAAGUAUGUCUAGCAAAUUUCAAUUUUGAAUAAUACACAAUUUCAAAAGGAGGACAUGUUGCAAGACAGCAUACCUUCUCUUGGGGUGCUUUUCAUUUUGCAACAUUUCUUUACGUGUAAUUUCCAGAGGAGGGUUUAUCAUUGUAUAUAGCUUUUCGGGUGGUUUGUCUACAAAACAAAUGUCACAAAGAAGGAGGAGAAACGGAAAAGAUUUACUUGGAAUGUCUCAAGUCUCCUUUGAGAUAAAGGCAUCGAAUGCACAACAUUGCUUUUGUGCUAUUUCAUAAUUAAAGUGUGCUUCCCAAGUCUCCUUUGUGUUUUGUAACUUGUAAUGUUUGUUUUUUUGUUUCCCCUGUUUUCCCUCUUAUAAAAGAAAUACAGGUCCAAACCACACGGAUCUACUUGCAUAAUAAUGGACCAAAUUUAUGAUUUUUAGAAAGAACCUUCUGCCGGUGGAAUCUUGGGCUACUGUUGUGGCUCUCCUCUGUGUGCCUCCUUUUUAGAACGGUAAAAUAUUCAAAAUACUAGAAAAUGUUCGUGAUUAAUAUAAAUAUUAAGAAUUGAAAUUAUUAAUUAAAUGAGGAUAAUAUGGUAAAUUCACACUUUUUUAUAUUAAAAAAAUUAAAAUUAAAAGAAAAAUCAGAUAAUUGAUAUUAUUUUUAUGGAACACAGCUACUCAUUAUCUUUUUUAAUUCUAAAAUAAAUUUAAAUUAAAGAAAAAAACCCCUCUCACAGGCACGGAAGCGCGUGCUCAGAGGCUAGUUAAAAAUAAUGAACUUUGCUUCUGAAGACGUCUAUACCAGACCCACUCAACCUGCUUUAUGAUUAUACAAAGAACAAACUCGUCCUUAGACUCAUUUGGUUAAACUUAGAAAAUAAUGAAACAAAAAUAUGCACUCCCACAAGUAACACAGCCAGGAUUGAAAACAACUGGACAAAGAAAGGCAUGUUAAAACAGAAUUUUCAACAACUCAUCACCAUUAGACAAGAAAAAGAAAAAUCAAUACAAAAACAGAAAGAACAGAGAAUAAAUGUGGUGGAAGAAAAACGUUGAAGCCAUUUGUGAAUCCAACAACACUACCACUCUGUUUCUCUCCUUUUGUUCAGGCGGAUCUGCAUAUAUCCUAAGGCGUAUUACGGAAACAACUUCUUGCCGUUAUACUUGAAUGUUGUGGAUGCUUCAACGUUGCCAUCUGGGUGGAGUGGAUUUGUCCAAUUCACCUUCACUAUGGUAUAUACGUCCAAAUUGUUGUUAUUUGAAAGGCUUCUAAAUUUUAACAUUUUGAUUUUUAAAUUUUGUUUAAAUAUUUCGGCCCACUUAGUUCUUCUCAAAAUAUGUCAUCAAUAUCGUUGAAAGGUUGAACUUAGUGAAUUAUUAUAGUGCAGUACUGUAGAAUAGACACAUGAUAUAAUUUGUCCACAUGUUAUAAUAUAAGUAAAUAUUUAUUGAUAUUAUUUCUAAAAAUAAGAAAUAUCAACCAUUAUAUCCUCCCAUAUUAUAAUACAUAUACAAAUUAUACCACAUUAUCAUACUCUAAUACCAUUUUAUAAUUUCUCGUACUUAGAGCGAGUCAAUGACAUUACAUAAUAUAUAAUUGUUCAUAUAAUGGGGCAACUAACGUGAUCAACAAGUUGUGGUGAUUAAUUUAACAUAAUAAAAAAUAUACCAUUUACUUGAGUGAUGUAACAAUUUGUUCUUUUAAAUUGGAUUGCCAUCACUUUAAUAUGAUAUGUUUCUUAUUAUAGUGUCCCAUGUUAAGUGCUUCAGCAUUGUUUGUGGUGUGUACACAAAUUUUCUUAUAAAAUGUUUUAAUGCUUCUCACAUGUAUAUCAGAUAUAGACAGUUGAUGUGACUUAGAAAUCAAAUUGUCAAUAAAGCAAAAAAAUAUAAUUGGUGAUUGAGGUCCAAUUUAAUAGAAAAUAGUCUUAACUUGUAUAUUAGAGGUUUCAGAUUCGAAUCCUCACUGCAUUAUUGUUGUAUACGUACACGAGAAAUCCUCUUCUCCAAUAAUUUAGACUAUCACUUAUACUAAAAAAAUAUAUAUAUAUAAUGACUUUUACGGAUGCAAACAUAAAAUUACACCAAACAAUAAUGGAAUAGAAAGAUGCAAGUUAUUUUUUUUUUUUUUACAUCUAAAGUAUACUUUAUAUAUAUAUUUAUUAUGGGUGUUAUAACCGUUUAAUUUUCAGUUUUUAUUUUCUAUUUAUUGUUUUAAUUUUUAUGGUUUAAUGUGUAUGAAGAUUACAAGUAUUGGAUGUCUACCACUCCUCCUUCACAUCUGAAACAAACCACCAUCUCAUUUCUGUAUUUUCAUACUUUCAUAUAUUUUCUACUUUCCAGAUUAUUAUUUUUGGGCAACGGUUCUGUGACUUGCAGAUUUCUAUCCGAUUGUUAACAUGCUCAUAGCGGACCUUGAGCUUGCGUAUUGGGGAUCGUAUCUUGGAGCCUUAUAGACCUUUAUUACCUGCAUGUAGGGAGGUUAUAAAUGCUUUAGGUCAGCAUCUUUGACGUGCUUUUGCUUUCUUUUUUUUUUUACUUAUUUCUUCGUUUCUUUAUUUUUACUUUACUUUUAAAUUUUUAUUUUAUGUAUUAUUUAUAUUUAAAAGUUUUGAAUAAGAGUUUUACAGAAAAGGAAAAACACAAUUUCAAAUAACACAAAUUUCUCGUUUUUGGUUCUUAAAAUAAAUGAAUUUUUUACUUAUUUGUGAACUGAAAUGCCUCUAAAAAAAUAAUGAUAGUUUGAAGAAUUUGAUAGAAAUUAAAAAAUAUCCUCAAAUUACUUGGAAUUGAAGACCACAUAGGCAAAAACACCAUUUUGGACAAAGGCUGGUGAUAAUAGUCGAUAUCAUCUUUAAGUACUUUAAUAUGAUAUGUUUCUUAUUAUAGUGUCCCAUGUUAAGUGUUUCAGCAUUGUUUGUGGUGUGUACACAAAUUUUCUUAUAAAAUGUUUUAAUGCUUCUCACAUGUAUAUCAGAUAUAGACAGUUGAUGUGACUUAGAAAUCAAAUUGUCAAUAAAGCAAAAAAAUAUAAUUGGUGAUCGAGGUCCAAUUUAAUAGAAAAUAGUCUUAACUUGUAUAUUAGAGGUCUCAUAUUCGAAUCCUCACUGCAUUAUUAUUGUAUGCGUACAUGAGAAAUCCUCUUUCCUAAUAAUUUAGACUAUCACUUAUACUAAAAUAUAUAUAUAAUGACUUUUACGAAUGCAAACAUAAAAUUACACCAAACAAUAAUGGAAUAGAAAGAUGGAAGUUUUUUUUUUUUUUCCUACGUCUAAAGUAUACUUUAUACAGUCCCGAUCUCUUGGACCACAGGAGUCCAAGAGAUUGUGGUCACCCACCGUUGGAUAUUAAUCCAAUGGUUCAAAAUGAUAUAUAUAAAUGCAAUAUGACAUAAAUGAUUAUUACCCGAUCCAAGUCAACCGUUGAAUUUACAUUCAACGGUGGGUGACCAUAAAUCUCUUGGACUACAGGGGUCCAAGAGAUCAGGACUGAUACUUUAUAUAUAUAUAUAUAUAUAUUUAUUUAUUAUGGGAGUUAUAACUGUUUAGUUUUCAGUUUUUAUUUUCUAUUUAUUGUUUUAAUUUUUAUGGUUUAAUGUGUAUGGAGAUUACAAAUAUUGGAUGUCUAUAAAGGGCCACUCCUCCUUCACAUCUGAAACAAACUACCAUCUCAUUUCUGUAUUUUCAUACUUUCAUAUAUUUUCUACUGUCCAGAUUAUUAUUUUUGGGCAACGGUUCUGUGACUUGGAGAUUUCUAUCCGAUUGUUAACAUGCUCAUAGCGGACCUUGAGCUUGCGUAUUAGGGAUCGUAUCUUGGAGCCUUGUAGACCUUUAUUACCUGCAUGUAGGGAGGGUACAAAUGCUUUAGGUCAGCGUCUUCGACGUACUUUUGCUUUCUUAUUUCUUCGUUUCUUUAUUUUUGCUUUACUUUUAAAUCUUUAUUUUAUGUAUUAUUUAUAUUUAAAAGUUUGAAUAAGAGUUUUACAGAAAAGGAAAAAUACAAUUUCAAAUAACACAAAUUUCUCGUUUUUUGUUCUUAAAAAAGAAGAAGCAUUGAUUGGGGAGUUAUGGUAAACUCAAUUUCAAUGGUUGCGAUGAGAGGCGGUGGCGGCGAGGAGAGGACGAAGGCUUUGCUGCCGACGGGGUGGUGUGGGUGGGUGGAGACCUCGGCUGGCUGCUUGGUCCUGGGUUCUCCUUUAAUUCUCUGUUUUCUUUUUUCUUUUUCUUUUUCUCUUAGAGUUAUUGAUGUUAAGUGAAUGGACAGAUGCCAAAAUAGGGACAGAAGUAGGGGUGGGCAUCAAUCCGGCCGAUCCGGUCAAUCCGGCCGAACCGAUUAUAUUGGAUUGGUUUGGUUUGGUUUUGACCAAAGAAAAAGUCAACAUUUUGAAAAACCGAACCGAACCGGUUUGGUUUGGUUCAGCUGUGGUUUGAGAGUUUUAAAAACUGUCCUAAACCGAACCGGACCGAUUAUAAAUCAAUUUAUUAUUUAUUUAAUUUAGUUUACAUGUGGCAAGGUUUGUGUGCGUUUUGUGAGUCCGCGUAUCUGAAUGUUGGUGCACGUUUUGAUCUUCUAAUUUGCAUAUCCCAGUUAUUUGUGUGUGCUUGUAUUUCCCUCUCUUUCUAUCUCUACUAUGUGUGUUUGCUCUUUGUGUUGUGUGGCUCUUCUUACUCUAUCUAUCUUAAUUAAUGGGUCCAUUUCAUAAUUUCAUACGCAUUCAAACUCCACCUCUGUGAUAAAAACAUUUACCUCUUUGUGAUAAAAGCUUUUCAUUUGUUUGUAUUUCUCUUUGGCUUUUUGACUCACUCACUGUCUUUCUUUCUUUUAAUGCUACUUGUGAUGAAUGCAAUGAGUAAAUUUAAUGCUACUUGGUUAAUGCAAAUUUUGUAUAUGUUUGUUUUGAUGGAAAUUGUGAACUUAGAUGCAUGCUAGACAUUGGACAACCUUUGAAUAAAUGGAAUGAUGUUGUAUUAGCCUUUGAUGGAAUGAAAUGAAAUGAUAUAAUGGCAAAAUGUUAGCAUUAUAAUGUAAGAGCAGGUUGAAAAAUGCAUGGUUUUGUGUUAGGCACAAACCGGCCGAACCAAUCCGAACCAAACCGAUUACAAGUGGUUUGGAUUGGUUCGGUUUCCAUUAUGAUUUUAGGCUAAUCCGAACCAAACCGGACCGUUAUUUUCUUAUUGGUUCAGCUGUGGUUUGAGAGUAAAACCGAACCAAUCCGGACCGUGCCCACCCCUAGACAGAAGAUGUGAACCCAAUUAUAUACAGCUGAUUACAUAAAGUAACAAAUUAAUUAAUACUUGAGUGGAGGACAGGCUUGAGUGGAAGAAUUGAUUAAGGCUUGAGUGGAAGACCAACUUCAGUGGAGGAAAGUAUAGAUAAGGAAAGCAUGCCUCGUUUAACGGCUUUAUCUAAUAAAGAUUAGUUGUUGGCACUUGGAGUUUCUUAGGAAUGCUGGUUUUGUUUCCUUGGUGGACUUGAAAGGUGGUGCGUUGGCUCGGACAUCUCCCUAGUAAUUAAUCGAAGGUGGAAUCUUACAAGACAUACAGCUGCUCAUUAGCUGAAUAUCUCGCUCUCUUUAAAGAGAUCGAAGCAAACUGCAAUUUGCAAUUUGUGUGAUUCAAGCAUGAAUAUCUGAUAUAGUAACUAUACCAUUUGUUGGUUUGAUAAGAAAAGUUUGGUUAGCGAGGAUGAAACCAUAAAGUUCUCCAAAACACACAAAAAACACGAACAAUUGCUAAGUUUAUUCUUGAGUUCACACAUAUUUGUACAAAUGAGAUUACUCCAAGCAUGACUAUACCAUUUGUUGGUUUGAUAUGAAAAGUACGGGCAACGAGGAUAAAACCAUACAAACACACACAAAGAACGUGGACAAUAUACUAAGUUUAUCUUUGCGUUAUUGAUCCGACCUAACUGUAAAAUAAAAAAGAUAAAAAUAUAUAAUGUUCACUACUUAGAUCUAUGAGCACUAAAGUCCUCCUUUUGAAAUUGCACAAAACAUCACUUUUGGUCUUUGGUAAAUUUUUAAAAUAAAUGAAUUUUUUACUUAUUUGUGAACUGAAAUGCCUCUAAAAAAAUAAUGAUAGUUUGAAGAAUUUGAUAGAAAUAAAAAAAUAUCCUCAAAUUACUUGGAAUUGAAGACCACAUAGGCAAAAACACCAAAUUGCAACCUCACUUUAAUGAUAAAAAUGGUAAACUACAAAGACAAAAAUGACGUUUUGCCUUAUACAUAAUUGGAAUUUGCUGGUGAUAAUAGUCUACCAUCUUUUGUCGAUUUGCUGGUGAUAAUAGUCUAUCAUCUUUUGUCGGUCCGACCUAAAAAGAAGAAAAAGUUGAUGGCAUCUUGUACCAUUUUUGCCAAUGUGGGCCCAAACAAUUUGAAGAAGUCCACCGGCAAUUUCUCAAAAGCUAUUGUGUGAGUGUGAAGCUAAACCAAUAUUAUUUUGCAUAUACGACUCCACAUCCCCAUGUGAUGUGAGGCUACAAAAGUGUUUCCAAAACGAAAUAUGAUAUUUCAAAACGAAGCUAUGUAUAGAGUCAUUUGUAUUUGCUUUCACAAUAACAUUUGAUUUGUGAAAGCAUUUUAUAUUUAUACAUUCUGAUAUUCUAACAAAUAAAUUGACUAAAUUUGGCCAACAGGAUUUAGCCGAAUAGAAAAGUCCUUAUUUAUAGACUAGUGGUUUCAAAUUUAAAGUUUAGACUAUCGCAUGUAUUUAAAAAAAAAAAAACAAUUGGCUUAAUUUGAUAUAUUUCCUUUUUUUCCUUUUUCAUUUUAUACUGGGUGCCGUUAUUAAGUUUUAUCCUUAUUUUUUGUUGAAAAGAAAAUUGAAAAAAAAUAAUAAUUCCUACAGCUAGCAACUUCUCCACCUUCCCUUCUUCGCAACUAGGGAUGCCAUUGCAAGGUCACCAUCUCAGAUUAAGUCCUCCUUUUAAAAUUGUGUCGUUAUUCAGAAUUGGAAUAUAAUCCUGUACCACUUUGGCCACUUUUGAAGAUGUUCACCGACAAUUUCUCAAAAGCUAUUAAGCUGUACAUCCACAAUAUUAUUGCAUCCAUCCCCAUGUGAGGCUACAGAAAAAUUUUGAAAACGAAACUGGAUAUUUUAUCUCUAACAACAGCUUUCAUACUUCGUUUACCCUGUGUUUCCAAGUUGUGCUAGCUAUUUGCAAACCUUGGAAUAUUACUUCAUCCAAAUCCCUUGCAGAGAAGAGCAAGAUAUGGCUUUGAUCGGAGAAGCCCUCAUCUCCGCUACCAUCCAGACGUUUUGUGACAAAAUUGCUUCGCCUGAGUUCACCGACUUAUUUCGGCAGAAAAAGCUCGAUGAACAACUCCUCAACAAGCUGAAGACGACGCUGUUGACCUUGUCCGUAGUGCUUAAUGAUGCAGAGGAGAAGCAAAUUAAGGAACCUUUAGUGAGAGACUGGCUUGACAAUCUCAGACAUAAUGUCUUGGCUGCGGAGGACUUACUGGAUGAGAUCGACACUGAAGCUUUGCGAUGCAAGCUGGAAGAAGGUGAAGGUCAAACCCACAAUUUAACCAAGAAGGUACGUGAUUUUUAUCAACGCAUGAAUGUUGAGAUGAAAGAUUUAUUAGAAAGAUUAGAACAAUUUGUACAAGAGAAAAGUGCUCUUGGUUUGAGAGAAGGUGCUGGGAGGAAGGUUUCACAAAGAAGAACAACUUCCUUGGUUCAUGAACCUUGUGUCUAUGGUAGAGAUGAAGUCAAAGAAAAUCUGUUACAAAGAAGAGGAUUUGCCGUCAUCUCUUUCUCAUCUGAGUAUCUCGCGGUGUCCUGCCCUGGAGAAAAGGUAUAAGAAUAAGACGGGACAAGAUUGGGCAAAGAUAUCUCACAUUCCUUGCAUCAAGAUAGGAUACGAACUGAUCAUAUAAUAUGAGCUAUUCCAUAUUUCACUCUCAACCCUCAACUCUCAAAUCAAAGUCAGGUGAGGUAUGUGCCUUCUCUUACUUUAAAAAACUGCUUCUCUUCUUCUAAUUGAAUACAAAAACCAAAACACAUAUUCUCUUUCUCUUCCAAAAACCCAAAUACAUGUUGAACAUUGCCAAAUUUGAUCUCCAAAUUCCUAAUUAUUUCACGCUUUUUGUUAUUUUGUUGCUUAGUAAAUUAUGGUUGCUGGUCACAAAUUAUAGUCUGUUAAUAGGUUCAUGCCAUGAAUUAAUCUUUGGACUUUCCCAGGUACUGCAGGUUUGUUAUUAAUGUUGUGGCCUGAUAUUCGUCGUAUCAAUAGGUUGUCUUACGUUGAGGAGAGAGAUCGAUCAGCAAUUACAAAAUUGUUAGUGAAUUUAGCUUGUUUAUCAUCUCUCUCCUUUUGUUUGUUAAGUUUGGUUGUUCUAGGUUAAACCCUUGUCCCCGCAUUUCACAGCAACUCUAUGUUAUUCCACUCUGUUUAGUUUCAUUUAUGUUGUGAUUCGACUGCUGCUGUAUUUUAGAUUUCGUUCAUGUAAUGCUAGGAUGUUUAAUCUCUUAUCUGUGGUGGUAGUUGAGUAGUCUAGCUAAUCCAAUGAUAACUUGUCCCCUGUUUUGUAUUGUUUUUAUUUCUCUGGUAAUGAAAGCACGUUUCUUAUAAAUAAAUAAAAAAUAUUUCAUUGAUAUUCAUUGCUUAUUUUGAACUGCAGAAGCCUACUUUUGUCAGAGUCAGUAGAUGCCAGAAUGAAGUCAUUGCCUAAACACAUUGGCACCCUCACAGCCUUCGACAUUUUGGGAUAUAUGAUCUUCAAAAUCUUGUGUCAUUUGCCUCCCAACCUGCAAUAUUUUCAUAUUUUAAAUUGUGACAGACUGAGCCCUUUGGUGGGAGAUUACUGGGGUUUGCAAGGACUUGGUGGCAAUAUCUUGUAGACGUUUCUCAAGGAACAGCUGCUCAAUACCACUCUUCACACUCUAUAUAUUAUGGCCUGUCAGUCUAUAAUUCCUGCCAGGAGAGGAACUUGAACGCCUCUCUUCGCUGCAAAGGCUACAUAUUUGUGGGUGUGACAAUAUCCAAUUCCUGCCAGAAGAGUGUUUGCUGCCAUCUCUUUCUUAUCUGUGCAUCAACCAUUGUUUUGCCAUGUAGAAAAGGUAUCUCACAUUCCUUGCGUCAAGAUAGGCGAAGAAGUGAUCAUAAGAUAUGAGCUCUCUCUCCCUCUCGCUCACAUACAAUGUACUUAACACAAACACUCAAUCUGAUUUCUAUUAUUAUUUUGCUCAGUAAAUUUUGUUUAAAUUUGCUUUAUUUCUCAUUGCACUUGUUCUGCUGAUCACAACUUAUAUCCUAUUUAAAUCUCAAAUGCUGAAUAAUGAGCAGUCUUUUCGCAGGACAACAUAUCUUCUCUUGGAGAGCUAUUCAUUUGCAAGGUUUCUUUAUGGGUCAUUUCCAGAGGAGGGUUUACUAUUUAAUAGAAAGGUUCACCUGGAAUAUCUCAACUGACACAUUCCCAAAUACAGGCAUUGAAUGCACAACAUUUUGAGGUACUAUUUUUGUAAUAAAAAUGUACUUGAGUCUCAUUUGAGCUAGUUUAAAUUGUAUUCAAUGUCUAUGGAUAACCUGUGAGCUUAAGUUGUAAGAUAAAACUCACAGUAUAUUAUUAGGGUUUAGGGUUCAACUGUUCAACAGGUGAGCUUAAGUUGUACUUUCCUAGGUACUGCAUGUAUAUAAUCUUAGUAUCAACACUUGGUCUUAUGUGGACAAGAGAGAACAUUUGAGGAAUUACAAAAUCUUCUUAGUGAAUUAAUGUUGUUUCAGCUCUGUUUGUCAUCCCUCACAUUUUCUUUGUUAAGCCUUGAUUUUUUAUUAGACAUAAGAAAAAAUGCUUUUAUAAGACAGGAGAUGAAUGCUUUUAUAUGUUGAUGUCGUAGUCAGUCUUCAACCACACUCUGUUUUUAGAAUUCAUUUAUGUUACUAGUUGAGUGCUGCUGUAUUUUAUAUUUCGUUCCUGUAAUGUUUGGAUGUUUAGCUUGAGCAGUCUAGCUUAUCCAGUAGAUAACUUGUUCCCUGUUUUGUA
rnacentral:lncRNA from 1 species